rnacentral:lncRNA from 1 species
GUACAAAGAAUGGGUUGUCGGAGAACAUGAUCAACGCAACACUGGUGGUAGCGGCGCUGGUCAUAACAGCGAUCUACCAAUCAUCUUUAAGCCCACCGAGAGGUCUUUGGCAAGGUGAUAACACGAGUAACCCCACCACCACCUCAAACCUUACUACUACCACUAAAUUUGGACGCUUUAACGACAUAUACGAUGAAAAACGUUCUAAACAUGUGUUGGGUGAUGAAACAAUGAAACCUGGUACAGCAAUCAUGAAUCCCAACUUGUUUAUGUGGUUUUGGUUAGUCAAUUUUAUAGCAUUUGGGCUUCCGGUUCUUCUAACCGUUUUCCUUCUAUACGAUGUAGCUCAUAUUCUUCUUAUCCCGCUUUAUUUUCUAUCCGUCUCCUACUUUCACUGCAUGACAAUAAUAUCUCCGUCCAUGUUUUGGGCAAACCUCAACUUUGUUGUCAUGUGGACAGCCAUUAUUCUCCCGUCUGUCUUAGGUUUUGGAGGCGUAUGGUUAUGGAAGCGGCUAAAGUACCGGGAAAUGACACAAAUACGCAAACGUGUCCGCAAUGACAAAUAAUAUCGGAAUAAUUCAAUACUUGCGAAUGUCAGUCUAAUUCAUAUAUUAUAUUACGUACUCUUUUCCAUUUUCUCUGUAUUAAUAUCUUUUGUUUUUGAGAAAAAACAAAACACUAUGUAAUCGCUUUGGAUAAAUUUAAUAGGAAUAAAAUUACUUUUCCCGACCGAUAUAUUUGAAGUAUCGUUUGUUCAAAAUCAACUGAUUUCUAAAUGUGUUAAUAAUAUUUUCAAGUUAUUAAUUAAAAAUAUCUUUAACAUAAAGAUAUAUAUGUAAUAUAUAUUUAUUAUAUUAUUACAUAUUUAUUAUUUUGUUUAUAUAAUAAAAGAGUUAUAUAUUGAUUAAAAAGAUGAAUUAAAAAACUAGAAAUUAAUAUAUUUAUUAAUUAAAAAUUAACAUGAAAUAAAAAUACAAAUAUGAGUAGGAGAUGAAUUAAAACCGAGACUCAAAAAUAAAAUUACUAACAUUUAAUUAUUUGACCAAAUAAAUUAAUGUGCCAAGUUAUUAAAGAAAACACAUUUUAUCCUACAAGACACAUUUUACAUUUCUGUCUCCAAUAUUCCUAUAAAUAUUAAAAAAAUCCACUAAAAAGGACAUAUAUUGCUAGUAUACCCUAAACCUAGGAAGGGUGGCUGUGGUGCGCCACGCUUUCUAACGCAAAUAAUAAUAACAUCUAAAUUUCAUGAGAGUUUGGUGUCCCUGUUCUUAAUUCUAAAAAAUAGAAUCUCUCAAAUAAGAAUAAUAAAAUAAAAUAAUCUUAAGUCUCGUAUGCGAAAUUGAGUUUUUGUGUCAAAUUUUUUGUGCAAUUUGUAUAUUCGUUAGUUUCCGACUCAUUGAACAAAUAAUUGUAUUUAUAUAGAAAUGAUAAAUUAAGUAAAAUAUGUCAAUUAAGCAUAUUAUCAUCUAUAUAUUAUAAUAUUAACUAAUUUGACUAUCACUUAAAUAUAUAUUAUCUACUUUAUUUAUCUUUUGAAAUAUAUAUAUAUAUAUGUAUGUAAUACCCAAUUGGUGCCCGGGGCCCAAACUUAAUACAAACCCAAAUACAACACUCAUCCCAAAUACUUUUAAACCCAAAAAAUGGCCCAAAACACAAUAGUUCAACAUUUGCCCAAUACCCAGCCCUAACAAUUUUCAACAAAAGAAACCCUAGGCAACUUUCAUGCCUCAGCGCCGCGGCUGCACACCCCACGUCGUGGUUACCGUCUCACGUCGCAGCAACUCCAGCACGUUCUUCCUGCAGCAAACAACAAAUUACAGCCACGAACAAUAGUAGAAAAAUGUAAGGAAAACUGUGAAAAAGGAGCAGCAGUUUUUUGGCUCUCUUAUUUCGGCGAUUAAAGCCAAAUAGGAAUGGGUAAAAAGGGGGGCAAAAAUAUUGUAUACAGAUAUAUUGGAAAGAAGAAAAAGAAUAAAAAAGCAAUUUUGAAGGUAAUCAGGGGUUCCAUUUUUUUCUUUUUUUUUCUGUCUUGUUUUCUUUAUUUUCUUUCUUGUUCUUUAAAACAAAAAGAAACAAAGAGAAAGAGAGAAGGCUCUUACCAGAAGAGGUGCGCCGUUGACAUUGUUGCUUGAUUUCGGUGUGAGGAGCAAAGGAGAAGAUGAAGCAGCCCUUGUGGCUGCUGUUGCUAAAAAUGAAAUGGGGUUUUAAUUAGGUUUUAAAAUGGGUUUUAAACAUUGAUGGGUUAUUUACGUCUUUAACCCUUUCAUGUUUUCCAUCAUUGCAAAACCAUUGUUUUUUUGUCUUCAAAUUUUUCCAUGACAUAUUAAAUUUGUAUAUAUUUAAAUGUUUUCGUAUGUUACAAUAUUUAUAUGCUUAUACAUUAUAUAUAUAUAUAUUAAAUGGAUUUAAAUACAUAUACAUAUCUUUUAUAUUUACUAUUAUUUUAUUUUCAUAGUUUUAUAUAUGUAUAUAUCUAUACGUUUAUGUUUUAUAAUAUUCAUACAUUUCCCAUAUUUUAUAAUUCAUACAUUUAUAUAUAGUUUUUUAUAAUAUAUAUAUAUAUAUAUAUAUAUAUUAUUCAAAACUGUUAUAAAUACAUUUUUCACAUUCGUUUUAUAUAUACCUACAUAUACAUGCUUUCAAAAUUUAUUAAUAUUUUUUAUAUACUUUUACUUUUAUAAAUACAGGUACAACUUUUAUAUUUUAUUUUCAUAAUUUUUGUAUAAACAUAAUUUAAAUUAAAAUAUUUGUCCCAUAUCGCAUUGACAUUUUUAAUACAUGUUUUAAAUACAUUUUGAUUUUGUCAAAAUAUUAAAAUUAUUUUUAUGAUUCAAAAAUUUUCAAAAUAAAAACAAUAUUCAAAGUUAGGAAUUUUCGAGGAAAAUUGAGCCCUAACGUAUUGGGUUCCGAUUUUCUUUGUUAAUUCCAAAUAACCGAGAAUAUUCGUUAUUUAAAAUAUAAACAAAAAUUAUUUUCGGGAAUUCGAUAUGUUAUGUCCUAAUGCAUUGGGCAUAACAUAUUAUUUUUUUUCUUUUUUUUUUCGAAAUAAAAUUUUUUCUUUAAAAAAAUAAUUAAAAAGAGAUAUUCAAAAUUCGGGGAUUUUGAGAAAUUGUACCCUAACGUAUUGGGUCUCAAUUUCUUCACAUGACUUGAAUAAUUGAUUAUCCUUUUUAGAUUUCAAAAUUUGAGUUUAACAAAAUCUUUUUAAUUUUCGACACUAAGACAUUAAACAAUCAAUUUGGUACCGAUUUUUGGGCGUUACGAGGGUGCUAAUCCUUCCUCGUGCGUAAUUGACUCCCGAACCUCUUUUCUCAAAUUUCGCAGGCCAAAAUUGCUUUUAAGGUGAGCCGAUCACACCUCAAUUAAGGAUCGGUGGUGACUCCAAUUUUUGUUUUUAAAGUCGAGAACUAAAUUUUGUUUUCAAAAAAAUGGUUUCGACAGCUUGGCAACUCCGCUGGGGACUUUAGAGAGUCGAGCCAUAAAUUGAUUAUAUUUGUCUUUGUGUCGAAAAUCAAAAGUUUUUUUUAAAAAAAAAUUCAUGAGUUCCCUUCGCACUCAUUGAUGUUUUAUCAUGGUAUUUUGGCAACUUUGCAUCUGCAUAUUGCAUUACAUAAUCGCUUGAUUAUUCCCUUCUAAGUGGGAGUGAGAAGCUACUCCUUCGUGAGGUUUUCACCUCCGUGCAGGAUAGUGGAUCACUUUCGGGAUACAUCCGUACCUAUGUCUUCAUGAGAUUUUCAUCUCCGUGCAGCCAUAGGGAAAUGUAUCCCCCUGAACUGAAUUCGGUCUGUAUGAGCCUAUAAUGGGUGAGGAUCGAGGAAUCUGCUGGUUCAGGUACCCUUGCCCUAGAAGCCAAACCUCAUAUAGUGAACCUUAGGAACCCACCCUAGGUAGAAUUACUUUGAGCCUCAGUAGACACCUAAUUAGGAGUUUUUACUAUUUAUUGGUUGUAUUGCAUUUAAUUGUUACUGACUUUUUGUGUUUUAUUCUGAUUACAUGGCAUUCCAUUAUAAAGAGGCGUUGUUUCGUAUUCGGUUGCUAGACAGAAAGUUUAUCAUGGGAAAUGAGUUUCUUGAUAAAGUGGAAGAUAAUACGGCUGCCUGAAUAUAUUCCAAGAAACGCAAGAAGGGUGAUGGAAGAAUACAUGACUUUACUUCGUGCCUCAAGGUCAAGUUGAUUAUUCAAGAGUUUCUGACAUUCCAACUGCCUUAAAGAAGCUGAGGAGCAUUACGGGGAUGGAUAGACGUUGGACCAGGAUCAAGCAAAAAGGAGGUAGAGGAGAUACCCCUUUUGAAGAAUUCGCAAGAUUUAUCUUAGCAUCCAGAUGAAGAAGGAGAAUAUGUCUUCUCCUGGAGUAUGAGGGCAAAGACGUAUAUAUAUCCGCUUUAUGUAAAGAAAUUUAUCUUCUAGUAAAGUUCGAACAGUUCCAAAAAGAAAUGCAUGAGCAACUUCAGCAGCAGAUGCAGGAGCAGCUCGAGAAGGUUCAAGAGAAAAUGAUGGAUAAAAUGAUGGAAUCUCAAGGAAGUAUGAUGACAAAGUUAACGCAGUUGUUGACAGAAUGGAAAAAUAAAGGAAAGAGCCCCAUGGCCAAUGUUGAGGAGGAAGGUGAUGACGGACCCUUGUAUCCUCCAGGCUUUAAUCCCCCAGAUGUACAGCCCCAAGUGGAAAUGUACCCUCGUAAAUCUUCUGUUACCAUUAGGCCUCAGCAAUUUCAGGCCGAUGCUUCAAAGGCGAUGAAUUACCAAACUAGAUCAGGCUCUAGCCCUGAGAAUAUCCCCGUCAAUCUUGUAGUCCCUGACUUCGAUGAGGUGGUCGAAAAGGAAAAAGCAAAGGAAGAAUUGCGAAAGCAAUUGGAAGAAAUGUGGAAAUGGGUCGAAGAGAAGUUCAAGGCGAUGGAAAGUACUGAGAGAUAUGGUGGGAUUGAUGCUAAAGAUCUGAGUUUGGUACCAGAUUUGGUGCUACCUCACAAGUUCAAAAUGCCAGAAUUCGAGAAGAAUAAUGGGACCUGUUGCCCUGAGGCCCACAUUACCAUGUUUUGUAGACGAAUGACUGGGUAUGUCAAUAAUGAGCAGUUAUUGAUACACUAUUUUCAGGAUAGCUUCAUGGGAGCAGCGUCUAAAUGGUAUAAUCAAUUGAGCCGUGCUAAGAUUAGUUCCUGGAGGGAUUUGGCACAGGCUUUUAUGAAGCAGUACAGUCAUGUGGCAGAAAUGGUUCUUGACAGAAUUACUUUGCAAAACAUGGAGAAGAAGUCGAAUGAAGGUUUCAGGCAGUACGCUCAGAGAUGGAAGGAGGUUGCAGUUCAGGUCCAACCACCGCUCCUUGCAAGAAAAAUGGUGAUACUCUUUAUAAAUAUGUUGAAGGCCCCAUUCAUCACACAUAUGUUGGGAAGUGCCACAAAAGGCUUUUCUGACAUAGUUAUGAGUGGUGAGAUGAUUGAGAGUGCUAUUAGGAGCGGAAAGAUUGAUGCUGGAAGAAAUAACAGAAAGUAAGCCCCAAAGGAAAAAGAAAAUAAGGUGAACAGCGUGAACACGUACAGCAAAUCGAUUAUGGUGAAUCAGCCAGGAAAGGUGGUUACUAAUCAGCAAGGUUCAUCAAAACAAGAAUCAGGUGUGAAGCCAGGUACUGAGAAGCUCCAGUUCACACCAAUUCUGAUAUCCUAUAAGGAGCUGUAUCAAAGCUUGUUCGAUGCGCAUGUUGUUGCUCCUCAUUACUUAAAACCUCCACAACCUCCGUAUCCUAAGUGGUAUGAUGCGAACGCGCAAUGUGACUACCACGCGGGAAUUACGGGGCACUCAAUAGAGAAUUGCAUUACCUUUAAAAAACUAGUUGAAAAAUUCAUCAACAUGGAUAUUGUCAAGUUGGGUGACUCAUCUAAUGCAGAAAAUCCGCUACCCAAUCAUGAUUGACAAUAAGGUGAAUGCGAUGUAUGAAGAGAUGUGGGGAAGCGUUCACAUCAAUGACAUGUAUGAAGACACAACUGAAGAAAGGGCCUUGUUAGAUGUCUGCCUUUAUAAAUUUGAGAGUGUUCUAAGCAAUUUGGAUUGCGGAAGAGACCCCUGUAGUUUUUAGAGCUUAUUUAGAGUAAUGUUCGGAUCAUUUUUGUUGUUUUUAGCCUAAAAAUAAUAGAAAUUCCUUUGUGAAAUAGGCUCAUGUCUGAACGUCAUUAUUCUAAUGAAAUGCAUCCUUGCGAUUAUUUGUGAACUAAUAUUCUUUCAGUCUGUCUGAAUAGUUAUUCUUUCAUUCUUUUGGAUUUUCUUCCACAUCAUUCAUUCAUUCAUAAUCAUAUUGUACAGAUAGUUCUUCAUAAAUUUAUACAUUCUUUUGUAUAUUCUUUGGUAUUUAUUAUGGGCCCCCAGUUAUCAAUGACAUGAAUGACACUACUACAUGAAAUUAUAUUCUUUAAUUCACAAGGUGAAUAAAUCUACAGUAUCACUUAUACAUAUUAUCCCAAGCUUAGUAGGAUUUUAUAUAACUUUAACUCUUCAUAAUUUCUUUAUUUUCAUUUGCAUUUCUUUACUUUCCACGCUUAUUCCAUAUAUAUGCAUGACACACAAGUCAUAAACAUAUCAUUCAACCAUGGUUACAAGCUAGUGCAUUUAACCAAAGCCUUUUUCGAAUUGAUCACAUGAUAAGGCAUUUCAUAAGAAAUUGCAUAAUUUAAACCUUACCACUUUUUUAUGAGCACUAGUAUAUUUUCACUUAAAUACUUACCAAUUCAAUGCAUUAUAUAAAUAAUAAUUCAACCAAUAGCCUGACACUUGCCUAAGCAUCAAGCAGCAACACCGGUUAGUGUCUUUGCACACAUUACAUAUAAACUCAUCAUGCAUAAUUUUCUUGUAUCAACAUAUUAAAGAUAAUCAUACAUUCACAUGUCAUGAUACAUAUCAUUCUCUUAUCGUUUCUUCAUAGGCAUAUAUCAUUCAUUUCAUUAUUUCGAUAUUUCAUGUACCAUCAUUUUCAUGAAUUUCGCGUACAUACCGAUAAUAGUUCAUUUCAAACUCAUGUUAUCUCACUUCAGAAAUUUGCCCGUUAUAUCAUUUAAAUAUCAAUGGUUACAUUUAUUUCAGAUCAAUACCAAUAAUAAUCUAUAAAUGUUUCAAUUCAAUCACAUAAGUCUUUUACUGUUUCUUUCUAAAUCAAAGAACGACUUACAGAUAUGAGUACAUCGUUCUUUUUAUGCCAUAGUCCAACUAUGGUCUUACACAUGCAUUGCCAUGGCCCUGCCAUGGUCUUUCAUUAGUUAAUAUCAUAUACUAUCACAUUGAGCCAUUAUUUAUCUCAUGAAUAUUUAGUUCAUGCUUUCUAAUCACAUUUUCAUAUUCAAUUCACAUUUUCAAAUUAUAUUCCACAAUCACGUUUCUUUUCAAUGGCUCAACUGAUUCAUUUCGUUCAAUUUAACUUUUCAAUUAAUCAACCCUAUUAACAGACUCGGACUUUGACGGAUACAAGGAUCCAACCCAAACACACCAGUACAACAUAUUGUGCCUAAAACGGUACAUAGUACCUGAUUAGUAAUCAGUAAUGGUAGCAGUAACAGUAACAGUAACAGUAACAAUAUUCAACACACAAAGUGCUGAAUCUAUAACAGUAACGGUAACAGUAUUCGACACACAAAGUGUCGAAUUGGUAACAGUAACAGUAGUCGGCAUAUAAAUGCCUGAUUAGUAAGCCGGCAAAAACUUGUACUCUUCCAUAUCCUAUGGCAUGCCAACUAUAUCUGACUCAGCCCGACUAGUUAAUAGGGUAUUAAAUUCACUUUUCAAUACAAUUUCCAUCUUAAUUCAGUAUCAAUUAUAAUUCCUUAUUUCAAUCAAUUUCACAGUAUUGCAAUAAUUCAUUACUUCAGUAAUUUCACAGUUCAAUGCAGUACACAUAACAGUAUUCAGUAACUUCACAAUUCAAUUCAGUACUCAAAAACAAUAUUUAGUAUUCCAUAAUGCAGUUCAGUAUCAGUCUCACUUUCAAUACCCAAUCAUAAAUUUUCAUUUGAUUCAAUUUCACAUUUCAAUCGAUAUUUCAUUCAAUUUCGAUAAGCAAAUUCACUUCCAACAUCAGUAUCACAUAUCAAUUUCCUCUUUCUCAAUUCAAUUCCAAUAAAAUCCAUAUCAAUCACCAAUUUCAAUAUUCCAGUUCAAUACCACAAUAGUUCAAUAGUUCAAUUCAAACCAUUUCAAUUUCUAUUCAAUAAUCACAUUUCAAUUUCACUUUCUUAAUUCAAUAUUCAUCUCAAUUAGUCACAUAUAAUCACAGUUCAAUCUAAUUUCAUUCAAUUCAAUAUCAAUACUUAAUUUCAAUAAUCAUAUUCACUUGAAAUCAACUCCAUUCAAAACAAUGUUAUCAUACCAAAUUUCUUACCUUAUUUAUUUACCAUGCUUUUCAAUUAAAACACAAUAAUUAAUAAUAAUUAGAUUUUAAAUACAGUAAUACAAACUUAUUAGGCUAAAUUGUAGAAAUACUAAAAAUUUAGGGACAUUUUGGUAAUUUUUCAUUUUCCUCGAAUUUCCACCCAAUCUUGAUCUAAAUCAAUAUUUCAUUCAAUUUAUUAAUUAAAACAAUUCAUUUCAUGCAACUUGGUCUUUUUUGAAUUUUUACAAAAUUACCCUAAAAUUUUACUUUUAUUCAAUUUAGUCCCAGAACCUAAAACAUGUAAAUUAGCUAUUUUUUUUAAAUAAACUCAUAUUAGCUGAAUAUUCACAUAUAUUUUUCCUCCUCCUCCAUUCCAUUCCACAUCCUUGAUAUAUAACACACUCAAUUAUCAUUAUCCAAAAUUUCACUAUUUGCUCAUAUGUAAAUUCAAAGUUGUUUAUUUGAGUCAGAGUCACUAAAUUAUUUAUAACUCGAGGUACAGGACUCAAAAUUAAGAUCUGUUAAUUUUCCCUAAAACUAGACUCACAUAUCUUAUUACCAUAAAAUUUUUAGAAUUUUUGGUUUAGCAAAAUAUUACAUUUUAUUCAUUAAAGUCUCCCCUGUUUCACUGUUCAAUAAUUCCAACCACUCUUCACUAAAAAUUAAUUAUCUCAUAGUACAGAAUUCGUAUAAUGUUCUUGUUUGUUUCUUUUAAAAAUAGACUCAUUCAGGAUUUUAAACAUAUAAAUUUUAGCCCAUAAUUAUUUUUUUAAAAUUUUUUAUGAUUUUCCAAAAUCAGAACAGGGGAGCCCGAAUUCAUUCUGACCUUAUCUCACAAAAUUUAUUAUAUCUCAUGAUUUAAAAUUCCAUUACUUACACCGUUUAUUUUAUAAGAAACUAGACUCAAUAAUAUUUAAUUUCAUAUUUUUUUCAUCUUCUAAUUCGAUUUUCAUGAUUUAUUGUGAUUUUUCAAAGUUAACCUACUGCUGCUGUCCAAAACUGUUUUAGUGCAAGAUGUUGAUUACUAAGUUUAUAAUUCUCUUAUUUCCUUCCUCUAUAAUAUUUCCCAUCACUUUCACUUAUUUCCUUUACUAACAUAACAAGAAUAUAGAGCUUUAUAUAAUGAAACUCUACAUUAACAUUAAUUUCCUACUUUUUCAAUAUUAUCAAACUCAAAAAUAUAUUGAAAUCUUGAUGUUCUUACAUUGUGUUAUUGAUUUCAAUCUUUAACUUGAUUUUCUCUCUCCUACAGCUUCUAUUUCUUGAAUCUAACUUGAUAUUCUAGCUCCCCAUAGUCUCCUUGUUGUCUUUCUCUCUUGAUGGCUAUGGAAAUUCUUUUGAUUUCUAGGUGAAAAUGGUAAAUUUUUUGUGAAAGGACCAAAUUGUAAAGAAAACAAAACUUUCUUUCUUUCUCUCUUCUUCUCACGUUGGAUGCAUGGGAAGAUGAUGAUUUCUUUCAUCCUUUUUAUAUUAAUAAUUUAAUAAUAAAAUAAUACUAAAAAUCUUAAUAAAAUAUUAAUUAAAUAACAUUUAUCUAAUUAAUUAAUUAAAAAUAUCACCAACAUAUCAUUACCUUCUAGAGUUCUCUCUCUAAUUGACCAUUUUGCCCUUCAUAAUAUUUUAAAAUUUCAACCUUGAGUCAUCACUUAAUUUGGUAAAAUUACAAUUUAGUCCCUUAAAAUUCUUCACCUUUUCAAUUUGGUCCUAAAUUUUCUUAAUUUCUAGAUUAUUCCACCCAUAAAAUAUUUGCACUAUUGGUCCUUCAAAUUUUUCAUAUUUACACUUUAUCCCCUCAAAUUUUGAGUAUUUACUUUUGGUCAACAAAACUUUUCUCACUUUUGCGAUUUAAUCCUUUCUUGAAUUAAUAUGUCAUAAUAUACUUCCCAGUGUUGCCAUAACUCAAAAUUUCCCUUUUUGUCACUUUAUUUCCUUAUUUUACUAUAUCAAGAAUAUCUACUUUCUUACUGUAGUAAUUUUCGGGGUAUUACAUAAAACACUUGAAUUAAACUGUAAACAUGUGUGUACCUACCAUGUAUAUAACAUGAAUCUUAUGCAUUAUAAAGCAAAUAGUGUCAAUAAAAUUUAGAAGGGCUAUUUAUUUUAACACAUUAUAUCCAAGCUGUCCACAUAAUAGGUACAUACAUAUUUAUAAUUUAAUCCAAUUGUUUUAAAUAUAUCUCAUGUCAAAUUUGAAUUGACUUUUUAAUGCUCAAACUAAUAGCUACAUUAACGGAAAAACUUAACUAAUACGAUUUUAAUACAUCAAGGGCUCAAUUAAAAUGUCUUGAAAUUUGAAAACCAUUUCAAAAUCAUAAUCAUAAUUUUGAUGUCAUCCGGCGAGUUUAUAAAUUUAGUGUUUGGACAAUUUAUUGUGGAUUUAUAACAACUUAGAUGUUAUUAAUUACAUUUCACGAAUAAUUUUUCUUCAAUUAAAUGUUUUAUAUUGCGUCGAUUGAGUCUUAUCUAGAUUGACAUCGAUAUUAUUGUCAGUACAAGAGAACGUGGAUUCGAGUGCGCUAAAACGUAUUAUCCUCUUAUUUAAAGGUCAGGGAGGGGUUAUGGGUAGUUUUAGGUAUUGUAUAAAAAAGAACAACUAUGAUAAAUAACCUAUAAUGAGACUAAUGUUAAAAAAAAUGGCUUAGAUCACAAAGUAUACUAUAAAUUUUUUUAUUGUGAUGAUAUUAAGAAUAAUAUUUUGGACAAAUCCCUAGAAUUUAUCUUUUUUAUUGAAAAUUAGUAUAAUUUUCGGACCAUUCUUUGCAUUCAGUUACUUAUUUAUUUGUGUUAACUUACAGAGCAAAAAUUUUAAGGUUAAAAUUUAUUUUAAGUCACUAUACACUUCAUAUAUUUGGAAUUUAGUCACCUUACUUUUAUUUUAGGAAUUUAGUCCCUUUAUUUUUUGGACUUAAUUAUUGCUAAAAUUCUUCUAUUAAAUUAUCUGACGUGAAAUUUUAAAUUUUUAAAAAAAUUCACUUAAUAAUAAUGUAACAAUAAAAAUAAUGCUGGAAAUAUAAAUUAGGAUUUUUUUUCUUAAAAACACUCAUUUGAACUUGUCAUGAUAAAAAAUAUAAUUUUUUUUGUUGGAAUAGUGUUCUUAAAAAAAAUUGAUGUUAACAUUUAAUUGAAAAUUAACAAUAUUAACUAUUUAAACUAUUUAAUAAUAUUAUAAAUAUAUAAGAAUGAAAUUAUGUUAUAAAUUAAUUUAAAGAAAUUUUGGUAGGUUCAAACCUUUUAUAUAUAGGUAUAUAAAUUUAAAGAAUGGACUGUCAUGUUGCAUUAUGGUAAUCUUUAAUUCAGCAAAUUACAAAUUAAUAACAAAGUAUUUAAUAUAAUUUUUUGUAUAUUUUCAUUUUUUGCUACUUUUCAUCAUUUUUUAAUAGUUUUUUACAUGCUUUCUAAUUUUUUUUAUGCUUUCACAAUUAAGUUUAGAAAAUAAAAAUAAAUUUUUGGUAUAAAAAAUAUUACUUUUAGGUACUAAGAAAUUUGGUUGAGAUGAACAUACAAAAAUAUUGUUUUUGCAUACUAAUAAAUUUAUUUAUAUACAAGGAUAAAUUAACAAAUAUUGAAAAAUAAAUAAGUAAAUUAAUCAAAUUUUCAAGUUUCAAUUGGUAAUAAAUUGCUAAAUCGAAAAUUUGACACGUAUAAUUUUUAUUAUCAUGAAUUGUUACACGGGCUGUCACAUUAGUGUUUAGUAAAAUUUAGAGAUUUAAGAUCAAAGUGAUACAAAAAUUAAGAGUAAAAGUGAGAAAAUAAAUAAAGGUUAAAUUAAUUAUUAUAAAAAAACAUUAAAAAAAGAAAUCAAUUACAUAGUUGAAUAUAAACAUGAUUAUGACAAGGUUGCCACUACGGAGAAGUCUAUGUAAUUGUCUGAAUUCCUUGUAGUUUGGUGACAUCCAUAAGCGGAUGACUCCGAAAAGUAGGGCAAAGGGGAUAGCAGCGGUUACAUUGGCAAGAAUAUAAUUAACGUCUACCCAAAACGACGAGGGUGAUAUUAUUGUCAUCGAAUAAAAGUAGGAGACGCUCAGAUAAUAAAGCGGGAUCAGGAGUAAACGAGGAACAUUGGAGAGGAGAAAAACUGUUAGAAGAACCGGCAAGCCAUAUGCUAUAAGAUUAUAAACCCAAAACCCAUAAUACAUGUCGGGAUUCAUCACUGUUGUACCGGUUUUCCUUGUUUCUUCACCCAACAGGUGUUUGAAUCUGGAUUUAUUGUAAUUGUCGUCUAAGAUUUGAAGAGUAUUUGAGUUGGUGGUGGGGAUACUGUUAUUAUCACCUUGCCAAACACCUCUCGGUGGGCUUAAAGAUGAUUGGUAAACUGCUGUUAUAACUAGCGUCGCAACCACCAACGUUGCGUUGAUCAUGUCCCCCGACAACCCGUUUCUUGCACGAACCAACAUUGUUAAUCUUCUUUUAUGCCAAUGGGUUCCUUUCUUAAUGUGUUUAAUCUUGGUGGCGGUGGCGUCACUCAUGUUCAAACCUCUUCUUUCGACCUUUUCUAUGAUUUCUCGACUUGUUAAACCAUCUGAGUUCUUAGCUGUUACGUCUAAGUAUUUCCCGACAUAUAAUAACAUUUUUAGUGCCUGCGUAAUUAAUAUAUUAUCACACUAUUAGAUAAAUAUAUCAACAGCUAGCAUAUAUAUAUAUAUAUAUAUAAAGGGAAAUUAGUAUACCUGGUGUUGUUCCUUUAUAGCUGCAAUGUGUAACACAGUGUUGCCAUCAUCAUCUCUCCAAUUGAUAACCUUCUUUUCCAAUUCAUUGGCUCCUCUACGACGAUUACUUUGAAGCCAUCCGGUUAAGAGAUUAAACGCUUCGAGGUGAUCGUUUUUCAAAGCAAGAUGUAACGCAGUCUCGUCUCGAACCGUCACAUCUUCAAUGCAUUCAGGGCAAGCUUCGAGGAAGUGGAAUAAAAGAUUAGAGUUCCCCAUUGCGGCUGCACAAUGGAAAGGAGUCAUCCCUUCCCUUCCUUUGACUCGAACCAGAUCUUUAUCGGUCUUCAAGAGUCGAAGCAGUAGCUCGGUGUGGCGGUUUCUGAAGGCCAAGUGCAUGGGGCUAAAUCCAUCUUGGCUUAGCUUCCUAGCAAACGAAGGCUUCAAGUUCAUCAUCUCCAUUGCCAGCUUAAUUUGGCCUUCAGUUGCAGCUAUGUGAAGUGGAGUAUCAAUGAAAGGAAUGUGGUCAAUGCGCUCCAACAUGUACGGAUCCUUUUGAAUUAAAGCAUAAAAGGCAUCAAUAUUUCCUGUUGCAGCUGCUUCUCUCAAGCUAUCAUUCAUGCUCAUCUCCUUGACUUGUAAAAUAACAUACCACCAAUGAUCCUUAUUUAAAACAUUAUAAAGUACGUCCUAAUUGCUUGACUUUUACGUAAAGAGUGAUUUAAAGAAUAGAAUAAAUUAAAUAUUAAGCAAGGAAUAGAAUAAAUUACUCUUAGAAGUAAAAGUUGUUUGUAUCCACCGCCACAAUUACUCUUCCAUAGUGAGAAAGAGUAGAAUAACACAGGUAAUAGAUUUUAUUCUAUUUUUAUUUUUAGAAAUUUAACUUCUUUAUUUUUUAAAUUUAAUUGUUAUUUUUUUUGUUAUAUUUAGGUUCGUUACAACUCUAAAUUUUUGUUUCAUUGCUACUAAGUGAAUAAUUUUCUUUUUAUUUCAAAAUGUCACGAUAAUGAAUUUAACAGAAAAAAUAUAGUUAGAGUUAACAAUUAGACUUGAAUUUUGAAAUCUAAAAUAUAGAAAGACUAAAUUUUUUAAAAUAAAAAUAGAGGCAUUAAACUAUAAAUAUAUAAAGAUUACAGUGAUUCAGAGCAUAUUUUAACUCAAAUCCAACUCUUUUAUUAUUAUUAUUAUUAUGAAAUUAGAUUUACGUUUCCAAAGAGUGAAUUUGAUAAUUUUAUUAACUAUGCAGGCACUAAAGCUGUUGUUAUAUUCCAAUGUUGGGUUACAUGUAACAGCUAAUAACUCGGAAGGUUUGAUGGCUCGAGAAAUCAUAGAAAAUGUUGAAAGAAAAGGCUUGAGCAUGAGUGGUGAAGAUGAUGACAAGAUUAAGCGCAUUAAAAAAAAACUUGAUACCCUUGAACUGAUAUUAGUAAUGUUAAUUCGUGCAAGGAAUGGAUUGUCGGAGAACAUGAUCAACGCAACGCUGGUGACUGUGGCACUGGUUAUAACAGCAAUCUACCAAUCAUCUUUAAGCCCACCCAGAGGUGUUUGGCAAGUUGAUAACAACAGUAUCCCCACCACCACCUCAAACGUUACUACUACUGCUCUUCAAAUCUUUGACGACAAUUACAAUAACUCCAGAUUCAAACACCUGUUGGGUCAAGAAUCAAGGAAAACAGGUACAACAAUCAUGAAUCCCGACUUGUAUUCAAUGUUUUGGGUUUGUAAUCUCCUGACAUUUGAGCUUCCGCUCCUCUCCAAUGUUCCUUCUUUUCUUCUCAUCCCGCUUUAUUAUCUAAGCGUCUCCUACUUUUACUCGAUGACACUAAUAUCCCCGUCGUCGUUCUGGGAAAACGUCAAUUAUAUUCUCACGUGGUUAGCCAUUCUUUUCCCACUUCGCUUACUUCGCUUAAUCAUACGACCACUUAUGUCACCAGCUUACAAGGAGUACAUACGCUUCCGUAGAGCUAUUCUUAGAGCCAACAAAGUCGGGAUCAUCCGACCCUUGCUAAGGGGUAAUCUAGUUGAUAUUAUAUUAUGUCCUUGAUUUUUUUUAAUUGAACUUCUUUUUCUUUUUGUUUAUGUAAUUGCUUGGGAUAAAUUUAAUAAAUAAAAUUACAUCAAUAGUCUUUUAAUUUUGUUUGUACUUAUGUUUCAAUCACUAAAUUUUUAAAAAUUAUAAAUUUAUUAUUAAUGUGAUCGGAUUGUUUUUAGAAUAACACGGGUUUGAUGUGAAACUUUAAAUAUGUCAUAUAUGUUUAAAAAAAAUUCCUUUCUCUCUUUUUUCGGAUAUUAAAAUAUUUCUUCUUCUCACCUUAUCCUAUCUUCUCUUUUUUCUUUCUCCACCAUUAAUGCUCUCACCACCUUACUAUUGCCAGUACUCACCACUAUCAACAAUUUCACCAUCUCACCACAACCAAACAUGAACCAACAACCGACUUUACCCAUAAUUAUACUCAUAAGGUGUUUUUCUCUUCCCUUUAUGAAUAUAAUUGGUUCGAUUUUUUGGUUCAAAGAAGGUUCAAACAAUCAACACUCAAACAGUCAAUAGACUGUCGGAUAGAUCACGUGCAAAACCAACCUAACCUAUGAGUAUAUCCAGAAGAGAAAAGUUAUACAAGUCCAACCCCCCACAAGUUCCCAGUCGGCUCAUCCCAUUGACCUUUCCACACCUUCGAAUUGAUUGGUGCAAUUGGAAUUGCAUUGCCAAAUGUAACACAUGAAGCUCAAGUGCUGACCAUCUACUAGAGGUGGACCAAGGCCCUCGAAGAGCCACCAACGUUGACAUCGCCUCCAGACUUGAUUGUUAUUAUUAUAUUCUUUUCAAAUUAUUUUAGUUGUUGUUUAGAAUGGAUCGUGACUAAAUUUUAUUAUGUAAAUAAAGUUUUGAAAAUUAUAUUGAACUUAGAAAGAAGUUAAAUUAUUCAAGUGAAAAAACGUUAUUUUGUAAUAGUGCAUUUGAUUGUAAAAUCUUUUUGUUCUAAUUUUAUAGACUAAAUUCUCAGGAGGAUAAUUUAGCAGUGAUAGAUCUAGUCUUCAAGGUACAAGAGUAAAGAUUUUAAACUGGGAUGUGUUAGAAUUAUGUUCAAUGAUUGUAAUUGUUGAAAGAUAGUGGAUUCUCCUCAUUGAAUUAGGCAUGCAUAGAGAAAUUGAAUUACGUAACCAACCUUGUUAUCCUCUAUUUUAAUUUUGGUAUCUCAAUGCUUGCAGGAGUACGCACUUUUGCAAUCAUUUUUGCUCGUAAUUGCAUAAAUAACAUUAAUAUCUUUUUUUUGUCAUUGUUUCUUUUGAAUGGUAUGAUGAAAUAACUUUGUAUAACUUUAAAAUGUAAAUUUGAGGAUUUUAGAUCUUUUUGAUGUUUUUAGAUUUUUUUAAAUUGUUUUUUUAGAGUUAUUGUUUAAAAAUCUUAAAAGUAUUAAAAUAAAUCAUAUAAAAACAUGUUUAUAAUUCAUAUUUUUCACAAUGAACUAAUAAUUUGAUCAUACUUUAUUCUAAUUAUAAGGAUGUGAUUGGACAGCAUAUAAUAAUUAGAUGGAAGUGUAAUUAUUAAUGUAGUAACUAAUAAUGACACCCUCUUAUACUUCUAAAUCCCUAAAUAUUGUUUAAUUGAUAGAGUUUAAUUAUAUCCUAAUUCUUUAUAUUGUUUUUUGUAAUACAAAUUAUAAUUAAAUAACUAAAUACUUUUAAAUUCUAUAAUCAAACCAUCAUAUGAUAUGUUAAUUAAGAAAGUAUUCAACAAUACAAUUAUAAAUAAAAAAAACAUAAAAAAUAUUGUAUACAAUUUUAUCAAAUUGCUGUGGCAUUCUAUAUUUGUUGGGCUAUUUUCUUAGUAACAUUAAGCAUAUACGUAGGUCAUUUGCUAAGUAUAGAUAAUUAAUCAUAAAUAAUAUGUAUCAGAUUUUAAAUUAUUUAAACAAAAUUAGUAAAAUAACAAUAAUUAUAUUUUAAAAAUAUAUGUUAUAAAAUUAAAAUACUAUUAUUAUUGAAUAGAAAAACUUAAACUAGAAUCGUGUACUGGUGUAUUUAGAAAGUCAUGAUAUAAUUAGAUUUAAGCGUAAUUGUCUGUAAUUAGUUGCAUAAUUUCCACAAUUCUCACCCUCUCUAGGAAUUGAAAGAGUGUAAUUGACAACUUGGCUACCAAAAUCUGAAACAACAGUGACAGACCAAAUCCGUUACAGAUGUUGCGACUCCAUCACUGUUUCCAUUUGGUGACGGUUUGUGAUGGAUUUUUGUGACAUCGAUACCCCUCACUAGUAAAGUGUAUCAGUGAGUGUAUGAUGGAAGUAUCAUCACAAUUUUUGCAUAUUAUUUUUGAGUUUGCGAUAGUAUAUAAAAUAUCACCUCGUUCCGUCACAAAUUAUAAAUUCUGUCACUAACCAACCAUAACCUACUACAAAUGGGUUGGAAACCAGCAGAAAGAAAAUUAUAUUUCAUUUUCCAUAAAUAGAUUUAUUUGUUGUUUAUGGAGCCACUAGGAGGGGCGGCGGCGGAGGAGGAGUCGCCUAUUGUAGUUUUUAUAAUAAUUCAACACAUUCAGUCUAAUAAGCAAAAUUAAUAAUAUAAUAAUUUAAAGAAGAGCAAAACAAAAUCCACACCCAAUGAAAAAAAUCGCUUCUUUCUUUCUCCUUCGAAGAUUCCAAGCAAGUAUCCAGACAUUAAAAACAAAAGCCAAUAUAUAAUAAAAACAAAAAGUAUGGAUAUUGCUCCAAGUCAUCAACUUUGAAUAUAAAUCCCAUAAUAUUUACUUUUUUUAGGUAUUUAAAUAUUCUUCCGUUUUUUCAUUUAAAUCGAGCCCAUGGUUUUGGAAUACUUUCAUAUAGCCUUUUUUGGGGGUCAAAUCAAUCUGAAUUACUAUGUUUAUUUUACAAUAUUAUAUUUAUCUCCAAAAUUUUUAAAUACAACGAUUGAAAAAGUGUAGAAAAUAAUUAAUUUAAAAAAAGAAAAAGAAAAGAAGUAGCAAAUGUUGUAAAUGUUCCAUAUCUUCAAUUAUUUACCUGAAAAUUUGAUACCUUAUGUCAACAUUUGUUUUAUGAUCAAUAUAUAUCAAUACUUUUUAAAAUUAAAAUAUUCACCAAAGUGAUAAGAAUAUAUAUAAUCCAAAAUUUUAAACAUUUUUAUUUUCAAACUCAAUAAAUAAUAUAUUUUAAGCUAUUUUGUUAAUACUAAUUUCUUGAUAAAUAUGUUUUUAAAUUAAUUACAUUGAAAUAAUAGUUGGUUUAGUUUUUAAAUUCCACAAGCAAGAUUAAGGUUGCCUGUGAAAUAAAAAAUUAUUUUAAAAAAGAGACAUUUGACAAUUUUUAAGGUUGCUAGUGAUGGAAAAUCAAUCACACCACGUUUUUUUAAUUAAGUGUUAUAGCCAGUUUGUUGACUCCUAUUUUUUAGCAAGACUGUUAGACAAAUAAGUUUGUUUAAUCUUUAUGGGACUAUUCUGUUUUCAUUAGUCUGUUAGUAGAAAAUUUUACUUUCACGAUUUAAUUUCUCUGUAAACCUAUAUAAAGGCAUAAUUGCUGAAGUUAAUGAUAGUGAAUUGAUUUUGAUUAUUUUCCUCUCGUGUUAAUUAUUCCUUUAAAGUUUGUCAUCGGCGAUAUCAGAGCCAGGUUUAGAGUGUUUUGUGUUGUGUUCCAGAUACGAUGUCACAACAUUCGAGUGAAUCCGAUAGAUUUGUUCAACCUACUAUUCCUCGCUUUGAUGGUCAUUAUGAUCAUUGGAGCAUGUUGAUGAAAAAUUUCUUAAGGUCAAAAGAAUAAUGGUCUGUCGUUGAGGAUGGAAUCCAAGAGCUAGAAGUUGGAACCAGUUUGACAGAUACACAGAAGAUGGAGACUAAAUUCCUAGAAAUAAAAAUAUAUGGACUAAUUUUUAAAUUUAUGAAAAGUACAAGGACUUAUGACAUAUUUUAACAAUUUAUUAUGUUUAUACUAUAAUUUAAUUUGAAUAUUUGUUAAUGCCAAAAGGAUAAUAAUAACAUGACAUAUUAAUGAUAAUGAUGAUGAUGUGUGAAAAUAAAAAUACUUCACAUUUAAAUUGAUUAUAAUUAUAAUUUAUAUAUUUUAUAUAUCAUAAUAUUAAUGAAAUUGAGUUUAUAUAUUCUAUAUAUUAUAAUAUUAACAAUUUGAGUUUUUUAGUAUUUCUUAUGCAUUUAGUUUUGCUUUUGGAAGUGGUUUCAGGGAUGGUUUUGACAUCGUCCACUCCAGUUUAGUGGAUGUUCGAUUCUUUUGCCAAUUGUGUCUACUACUUAAGAUCAUCCGAGGUUAAUUUUCUCAUAGUGUUAAAUGUUUGCAAUUGCUCCAAAUAAUCAUACUUGAGUUGUGAUGGAGACGAUUGCUAACUUGCUAUAUAUUAUCGAUUUUAUAGCAUAAUAUUUAAAAGUAAAUUUUUACCGCCAUACUAAAAAUUUUAAAUAUUUUAAGAGUAAAUUUUUUUAAAGCGAAAAUGCUUCGAAAUUAUAUUAAAGUGAGAAAUGGGGAGUGGGAGUCAAGAUAUUGAUGUCUGUAAUAGGCGGCCAUAGAUUCAUAUCCGUCGUUAGAUAUAAAUAUAUUAAUCAUUUUUUAAAAUAUUCGAUAUUUUUAUGCAAUAUAAAUAUACCCUUGAGGGAUUAGUUUAGUGUAAGAUUGAGUUAAAUCAGUUGAGGUUUCAAAUAAGGAUAGUCAGUUUGCAACUCUCCUAAUUUCUUCAUCAUUUAAAGAAAGAAACAAAAGCAUGGAUCCAAGCUUGAGAGAAGUAGCUGGAACAGGAAAUAUUGAUGCCUUGUACUCUCUAAUUGGAGAGGAUCCAUACAUGCUGGAGCAUAUUGAUCAGAUUCCUUUCAUCGAUACUCCACUUCACAUAGCAGCAAAUAAAGGCCAAAUUAAGUUUGCAAUGGAGAUUAUGAACUUGAAGCCUUCGUUUGGUCGGAAGCUAAACCAAGAUGGGUUUAGCCCCAUGCACUUGGCCUUCAAAAUGGGGCAUACCAAGCUAGUGCUUCGACUGUUGAAGACCGAUAAAGACCUGGUUCGCGUCAAAGGAAGGGAAGGGAUGACCCCUUUCCAUUGUGCAGCUGCAGCGGGGAACUCUAAUCUUUUAUUCCAGCUCCUUGAAACUUGCCCUGAAUGCGUUGAGGAUGUCACGGUUCGUGACGAGACUGCAUUACAUCUUGCUCUGAAAAACGACCACACCGACGCUUUUAAUUUCUUACUUGGAUGGCUUCGAAAGAACCGUCGUGGAGGAGGCAAGGAUUUGGAAAGAAAGGUUGUGAAUUGGAGAGAUGAUGAUGACAACACUGCGUUGCACAUUGCAGCUACAAAGCAACAACACCAGGUAUAGAUGCAUUAUAAUGAUAAGUUGCGUAUAUUCCUUUGAUAAUCUUAUUAAUGACUGUUUAUAAUAUUCUACGCAGGCCGUGCAACUGUUGUUGGAUUCCUUUUAUGGGUUAGAUGUAAAAGCUAAGAACUCGGAAGGCUUGACAGCUCGAGAAAUCAUAGAAAAUGUUGGGAGACAAGGGUUGAACAUGAGUAGCGCCGAAGACGAUGAUAGGACCACCGCCAAGAUUAAGCGCAUUAAGAAAAGAACUAGUCGGUCUGAAAGAGCAUUAGUAAAGUUGAUUCGUACAAAGAAUGGGUUGUCGGAGAACAUGAUCAACGCAACACUGGUGGUAGCGGCGCUGGUCAUAACAGCGAUCUACCAAUCAUCUUUAAGCCCACCGAGAGGUCUUUGGCAAGGUGAUAACACUAGUAACCCCACCACCACCUCAAACCUUACUACUACCACUAAAUUUAAACUCUUUAACGACAAUUACGCUGAAAAACUUUCUAAACAUGUGUUGGGUGAAGAAACAAUGAAAACUGGUACGGCAAUCAUGAAUCCCAACUUGUUUUUAGGGUUUUGGUUAUUCAAUUUUAUAGCAUUUGGGCUUCCGGUUCUUCUAACCGUUUUCCUUUUAUACGAUGUAGCUCGUAUUCUUCUUCUCCCGCUUUAUUUUCUAUCCGUCUCCUACUUUAACUGCAUGACAAUAAUAUCUCCGUCCAUGUUUUGGGCAAACCUCAACUUUGUUGUCAUGUGGGCAGCCAUUAUUCUCCCGUCUGUCUUUGUUUUUGGAGGCGUAUGGUUAUGCAUGCUGCCAAAGUACCGGGAAAUCAGACAAAUGCGCAGACGUGUCCGCAAUGACAAUAAUAUCGGAAUAAUUCAGUACUUGCGAAUGUCAGUCUAACUUAUAUAUUAUAUUAUGUACCCUUUUCCAUUUUCUUUGUAUUAAUAUCUUUUCUUAUUGAAAAAAAAAAACACUAUGUAAUUGCUUUGGAUAAAUUUAAUAGAAAUAAGAUUACCUUUCCCGACAGAUAUAUUUGAAGUAUCGUUUGUUCAAAAUCAACUUAUUUCUAAAUGUGUUAAUAUUAUUUUCGAGUUAUUAAUUAAAAAUAUCUUUAACAUAAAGAUAUAUGUAAUAUAUAUAUAUUUUUAUUAUUUUGUUUAUAUAAUAAAAGAGUUAUUGAUUAAAAAGAUGAAUUAAAAAAUUAAAAAAUAAUAUAUUUAUUAAUUAAAAAGUACUAUUUUUUAAAAUAAUAUGAAAUAAAAAUACAAAUAUGAGUAAGAGAUAAAUUAAAACCGAGACUCAAAAAUAAAAUGACUAACAUUUAAUUAUUUGACCAAAUAAAUUAAUGUGUCAAGUUAUUGAAGAAAAUACAUUUUAUCCCCACAUUUCUUUCUCCAAAAUUAAUCUAUUUCUACAAAUAUUAAAAAAAUCAACCUUAACACUAAUUAUUUUCUAAAAAGGACAUACGUUGCGAGUAUGCCUUAAACCUAGGAAGGGUGGCUGUGGUGCGCCACACUUUCUAACGCAAAUAAUAAUAAUAAUAAUAAUAAUAAUAAUACAUUAAUCUAAAUUACAUGAGAGUUUGGUGUCCCCUUUUCUUAAUUCUAAACAAUAAAAUCUCAAAAAUAAGAAUAAUAAAAUAAAAUAAAAUAAUUGUAUUUAUAUAGAAAUGAUAAAUUAAGUAAAAUAAAUAAUAAAAAUAUGUCAAUUAACUAAUUUCACUAUCAUUUAAAUAUAUUUAUCUUUUGAAAAAUACUUUUUCUUUUUUAAACAAAGGGUGGACAUCAUCAAAAAUAACUUAGAAAAGUAGAAAUUGUAGCCGUACUAGAACAUUUUUCAUCUAAACAUCAGAAUAUUAAAAUGCUGAAAAACCUCCAAAUUUACCGUUCUCUACAUCCAUUACUAAUCGUAGACGGUGACAAAGACAUUCGACAGAUGAUAAGCAUAAAAAAAAUACUCUUUUAACUACAAUACUAAAAGCGUCCGCUAACCAUUUUUCAAUUAAGAUAUUAAUCAAGACGGAUUAAUUUAGUGUUAAAUAGAGUAAGUCUAGGGGUGGGUUUGGAUGGGUGAUUGGGUGCGGUGCGGUGCGUUUAGUUUACUUUUUGUCUCACGCUACAGUGUCUAAUCUCACCGCCACCGCUGUUUUUACACUAACCUCAAAUAAACCCACCGCCCAUCCAAACUCACCCUAGACUAAGUCCGUGGAUGAAUUUCCGCAUCUUUUUUUAGGCAUUAAAUUGAGAGCCAAUCAGAGCCUUCCCCUUACUACCAAUCUAUAAAAAAUUGGAUCUUUGGUUUGAUUUUAUCAAUAAAAGAAAUUCCUUCCUCGGUUUCUUAAAUUUGAUAACUUUUAUCAUUAUCAUUAUUUUAUUAUAUAAAAUAAUUUUGUUCACUUUUCAUCAAUAAUGAGAUCAAUUGUUUCGCUAAUAGAAUAGAAAAUAGAUAGUUACUCAAUAUUAUAAUGGUACCAUGUGUUUUUAUGUUUUUAAUUUUUAAUAUAAUUAAUGUUAUAACCCUCCUUAUGAAGCUAGUUAAUGUAAAGGAUAAUAAUUCUAAUUAUCUGUGCUUAAAAUUAAUUCAGUUGUGCUUUCAAUCAAUGUCUGAUUUUGAUAUUGCAAGAGGUGUCCAGCUAUGUGGUGAGAUCUUGAAGGUGUGUCUUUGUAACAACUUGAGAAGCUUUUUGGAUUUUUUUCUUCUUCUUUUAGGUUUAUUAUUAGUAAAUGAUUUUUUGCUGCGAAAAAUUAGCUUAAAAAUAAAAUAUAAAAAUGAUAGGAAAUAUAUGUUAAUUUUAUACAACGACAAUUAAUGACAUUGCAAUAUUACUUAACAACAUGAACAAUCCCCACCAUCGUAUUGUCAUUCCCAAGUAAUGGCGUAUUCUCUUUACUUGGAAAAUAUCCCUCCUAACGCUGGCCGAAAUUGGUUGAAACAUUAUGCAGCUAAUUUGGUAAGAUCAUGGACGUGUUUAUUGCAUCAAAAAGAAAUAGAAGAGGUCGUCGGUUUUGUUUCGUUAGGUAUGGUAGGCUGGAAGAAGCAAAGAGAGCAUUGUGGAGUCUAGAUGGAAGGUGGUUCUCUAAUCAUAGAUUGACGGUCAGUAUGGCGAAGUUUAAACCUAGAGAUGCUUUGUGGAGGAAGGCAAAUGGGAGAGAGGUCAGACAACAUACAUAGAAUAUGGAAAGAAGAUGUGUUGAAGGAAAUACGGGAUCGCAUGUAGAGAAGAAUGCAAGUGAGAUUAUGGCAAAUAAUAAACAACAUGAAGAAAAUGACCCAAUCAAGUUGGACGAGAUGGUGGAAGAUUUAUGAAUUUCCAGAAAAGAUAAGAGAACAAAGUAGUAGAGGGAGCCAUUGAUGGAGAGAACUUGAAGUGGCUUGAAAAAUGUAUUGUGGGUAGAAUGAGAAACAAUGCUACUGUGGGGUUAUGGGGUGAUGCUGGAAUUUAUAAAAUUGGAGUCCAAAGAUCAUCGGGUAAUGAUUGGUAUGAAUUGGAAGCCAAUGAAUGGGGAGAUGUUUUGCAAGUGUUCAGAAAGUUGAACGGUGGACAACGAAGAUGAAAGAUUAAGGUGGUUAUCCUGUUACGAGAUUCCAAUACAUGCUUGGUCUUCGAAGAUUUUGACGUACUGUAUAGGCGGCCACCGAUUUAUAUACCUCGUCAUAUAUAGAUAUAUUAAUCAUUUCUUAAAAUAUUCGAUAUUUAUAUUCAAUAUAAAUCUACCCUUGACGGAUUAAUUAGUUUAGUGUAAGCCUGGUUUAAAUCAGUUGAGGUUUCAAAUAAGGAUAGUCAGUUUGCAACUCUCCUAAUUUUUUCAUCAUUUAAAGAAAGAAACAAAAGCAUGGAUCCAAGCUUGAGAGAAGUAGCUGGAACAGGAGAUACUGAUGCCUUGUACGCUCUAAUUCGAAAGGAUCCGUACAUGUUGGAGCAUAUUGAUCAGAUUCCUUUCAUCGAUACUCCACUUCACAUAGCAGCAAAUGAAGGUCAAAUUAAGUUUGCAAUGGAGAUGAUCAACUUGAAGCCUUCGUUUGGUCGGAAGCUAAACCAAGAUGGGUUUAGCCCCAUGCACUUGGCCCUCAAAAUGGGGCAUACCAAGCUAGUGCUUCGACUGUUGAAGACCGAUAAAGACCUGGUUCGCGUCAAAGGAAGGGAAGGGAUGACCCCUUUCCAUUGUGCAGCUGCAGUGGGGAACUCUAAUCUUUUAUUCCACUUCCUUGAAACUUGCCCUGAAUGCGUUGAGGAUGUCACGGUUCGUAACGAGACUGCAUUACAUCUUGCUCUGAAAAACGACCACACAGACGCUUUUAAUCUCUUACAUGGAUGGCUUCGAAAGAACCGUCGAGGAGGAGGCAAUGGUUUGGAAAGAAAGGUUGUGAAUUGGAGAGAUGAUGAUGACAACACUGUGUUGCACAUUGCAGCUACAAAUCAACAACAUCAGGUAUAUAUAUGCAAUAUAAUGAUAAGUUGCGUUCCUUUGAUCAUUUUAUUAAUGACUAUUUAUAAUAUUCUACGCAGGCAGUACAACUGUUGUUGGAUUCCUUUUAUGGGUUAGAUGCAAACGCUAAGAAUUCGGAAGGCUUGACAGCUCGAGAAACCAUAGAAAGGGUUGAAAGACAAGGGUUGAACAUGAGUGGCGCCGAAGACGAUGAUAUCUCCACCGCCAAGAUUGAGCGCAUUAAGAAAAGAACUAGUAGGUCUGAAAGAGCAUUAGUAAAGUUGAUUCGUGCAAGGAAUGGGUUGUCAGAGAACAUGCUCAACGCAACACUGGUGGUAGCGGCGCUGGUCAUUACAGCAAUCUACCAGUCAUCUUUAAGCCCACCAAGAGGUCUUUGGCAAGGUGAUAACACUAGUAUCCCCACCACCAACUCAAACCUUACUACUACUACUAAAUUUAAACUCUUUAACGACAAUUACAGUUAGUAUCGUUUUAAAUUUCUGUUGGGUGAAGAAACAAGGAAAACUGGUACUGCAGUCAUGAAUCCCAACUUGUUUUUAGGGUUUUGGUUUUUCAAUUUUAUAGCAUUUGGGCUUCCAGUUCUUCUAACCGUUUUGCUUUUAUCCAAUGUACCUAGUAUUCUUCUCAUCCCGCUUUAUUAUCUAUCUGUCUCCUACUUCAACUGCAUGACAAUAGUAUCUCCUUCCACGUUUUGGGCAAACCUCAACUUUGUUGUCAUGCGGACAGCCAUUCUUCUCCCGUUGCUCUUAGUUGUUAGAAGCGUAUGGUUAUCGAAGCAACCAAAGUACAGGGAAAUCAGACAAUUACGAAGACUUUUCCGCAAGUAGAAUAAUGUUGGAAUCAUUCAACGGUUGCGAAUGUCAAUGUAGUUUAUAUGUUCUCUUAUGUUAUGUACUUUUUUCCAUUUUCUCUGGAUUAUCGGUAAAAAAUUUAUGUAAUUGCUUUGGAUAAAUUUAAUAAAUAAGAUUACUGUCGAAACCGCUUUUUUGAAAAACAAAAAUUUGGUUGUCGACAUUAAAAAUAAAACUGGAGUCGCCACCGAUCCUUUAUUAAGGUGCGAUUGGCCCACCUUAAAAAUUAUUUUGGCCUACGAAUUUUGAGAAAACGAGUUCGGGAGUCAGUUACGCACGAGGAAGUGUUAGCACCCUCGUAACGCCCAAAAUCGGUACCAAAUUGAUUAUUUGAUGUCUUAGUGUCGAAUGUUAAAAAGAUUUUUAAAACAACUCAAAUGAUGAAAUCUGAAAAGGAUACUCAAUUGUUCAAGUCAUGUAAAGAAAUCGAGUCCCAAUACGUUAGGGUACAAUUUCUCAAAAUUCUCGAACUUUGAAUAUCACUUUUAUUUUAUGCGAAAAUUUUCAUUUUGGGAAAGUAACAUGCCACACCCAAUACGUUAGGACACGACAAGUUAAGUUCCCAAAAAUGAUUUUUAUUCUCAUGCAUUUUGAAUAAAGAAUAUUCCCAGCUUUUUAAGAUUGACAAAGAAAAUCAGAACCCAAUGCGUUAGGGCUCAAUUUUCCUCGGAAAUCCCAAACUUCGAAUAAUGCUUUUAUUAAAAAAACCUUUGAAUCAUGAAAAUAACUUUGAUAUACGGUUAAAACCAAAAUAUAUUUUCAAAAGGGUACAUUGAAAAGUUAGUGUACAAUAUGAUACAAAACUUCAAUUUAAAAUACAUGUAUAUAUGUGUCUUUUCAAAAUAUAAGUAUGAGACAUAAAUAAAUUUUGAAAACGUGUAUGAGCAUAUAUUAAAACGGGUAUAUAUAAGUAUACGUAUAUAUAAAAAAAAUGAAAUAUAUAAAACAAAACAAAAACCUAUUAUAAUUUUCUAAGAAAAUAUGCAUGUAUGUAUAUGUAUGCGAAAUUUAUGAAAAUAAGAUAAAAGUAUAAAAAUAUGUACAUGUGUAUAUAUUUACAAAAAAGUAUACAUAUAAAAUAUAAAGUAUAUAUAAAAAGUAAAUAACAAAAAUAAAAAAAACAUAGGUAUAAAAUAUAUGCAUUUAUUUAUAAAACUUUAAUAUAUAUAUAUAUACCUAUAUAAAAAAAACCCAUAUGUAUAUUAUAUAUAAAAAAACUAUGCGUAUAUAUAUAUGUAUAGAAAAUAUGAUAAUAAUCAAUAAUAAUAACUAAUAUAAUAAAAAUAAUUAAUUUUAAUGAUAAAAUAAUUAAUAACAAGGGACCCAAAUUGAAACUACAGGAAACUUUCAGGUAAACAUUUAAAAUAAUAAAAGCUGAAAACUAAUUUGUAGUGCCCUGGAAACAUCAGGGAGUAAACGAGCAAAUAUACCAGCCCCUUAUACGCAGCGUUUUCAUGUUGGACCAAAUUGAAACAGGAAACAGACGUGCGGUCAAAAUUAAAAAUAAAAAAAAUUGUAUUGAAGGUGACUCAAAAACAGAGGGACCAGUUGCGCAAAUUCCCCAUUCAGGGCCAGAACGCGCGGACCCUGCUUGCGGGUCGGGUCGACGCGCGGAUCUGGCCCCUUGCAAAACGGCGCCGUUUCACUCUUAUUAUUUAAAACAGUUUUCUUCUUCUUUUUUUCUGAAAUCUGUAGCCAACAAACAAAAAAACUUUUAACCCUCUGCUAGGUUUUUUUUAAAAAAAAAACUCCUUUUGUUUUUACGCCGUCGCUCGUCGGCCACCGGAGCUCCGAUGACGGCAGAGAUGGUAGCAAACGGCGGCCCGAACACAGAGGUAAACUCCUCUUCACUCUCUUCUCUUUAUAAAUCAACAGUAAACAUGGAAGAAAAAAAAUGAACGCCGAACAAAAAAACCACCUUUAUAUUCAAGAAAAGUUUGUAUUUUCCUUUCUUUUUCUCUGUAUUUUUCAGUGUUUUUGUGUGCACUCCUUUACACCGAAAAUCCCCCCUUUAUUCUCUUUACAAAUCUGUUUAUAUAUAACCGAAAAAUAUAAAAAAUGUAAAAUCAAAGAAAUAUUUUCUGUUAUUGCUGCACUUUCUGCCAUUUUCUAGUUUUUUCUCGCAGGUAUGGGCACUGUUGGGGAGUGCUCACGCUCGUGGAGGCGCAAAUCGCGCGGAGGGAGGACUCUGGCCCGCAUUGUGCGGCGGCUGGAGUUGUUGGAGGCUGCCAUUAGGGUUUGGGGUAUGGGGGUUGCUAGUUGGGCCAGGUUUAGGGUUAUUGGGCCUGUAUAUUUGGUUUUUUAGUGGGCCGGACAAUUUGGGCUUGUACAGUUGCCCCUCUUUGCUGGUUGUCGUAUAACGGCAACAGAGCAAAGACUACGAGGCCCAAUUGUGCCCGGUCUUCCUGAGUCUUAACUUCUUCCAUGCCUCUCUUCUUUAGGUAGCCUCAUUCAUUCCUACUGCAUUUUCAGAGGUAUAGGAACUAGCUUCAAUCCACUCCACCGCAAUGUCAGGGAGAUAGGCUUCGUACGUUUUAGCUUCUCAAAAAGAACAAAAUUUGCUAUCUUUAAUCUGCUCCAUUGCAACUUCAGGGAGAUAAGAUUUGUAGCUUCAAUUUGUUCUGCUACAACUUAAAGAUAAGUCCGAUGCGAUCUGCUUUACUGCAACUUCAGAGAGAUGAGAUCUGUGGUCUUAAUCCACUCCAUUGCAACUUCAAGGAGAUUGGAUUGGUUACUUUUGUAUGCUCCACUGCAACUUUAGGGAGACAAGACUUGUAUCUUCGAUCUACUUCACCACCAGUAUGGGAAGACAAGAUCUGCUUUCUUCGAUCUACUUCACGCCAAUACAUGAAGACAAGAUCUGCUUUCUUCGAUCGAUUCCACUACCGAUCGGGGAGAUAGAAUAACUGGCUUCAAUAUACUCCACUGCAACUUCAGGGAGGUAAAAUUCGCCAUCUUCGAUCUGCUCCACUACUGCUUAGGGAGGCAAAAUCUGUAAUCUUCAAUCUAUUCCACUGUUGCCCAGGGAGAUAUAAUUACUGGCUUCAAUGUACUCCACUGUAACCUCAGGGAGGUAAAAUCUGCCAUCUUCGAUCUGCUUCACUACUGCUUAGGGAGGCAAGAUCUGUAAUCUUCAAUCUACUUCGCCACCAGUAUGGGAAGAUAAAAUCUGUAUAUUCGAUCCACUUCACUACCGAUAUAAGAAUACAAGACCUACUAUCUUUGAUGAAGACAAGAUCUGUUUUCUUCGAUCUACUUCGCCACCAGAAAAGGAAGACAAGAUCUGGUAUCUUUGAUCCACUUCGCUACCAAUAUAGGAAGACAGGAUAUAGUAUCUUUGAUCUACUUCACGCCAGUACAUGAAGACAAGAUCUGUUUUCUUCGAUCUACUUCGCCACCAGUAUGGGAAGACAAGAUCUGGUAUCUUUGAUCUACUUCGCUACCAAUAUAGGAAGACAGGAUCUGGUAUCUUUGAUCUACUUCACGCCAGUACAUGAAGACAAGAUCUGUUUUCUUCGAUCUACUUCGCCACCAGAAUAAGAAGACAAGAUCUGGUAUCUUUGAUCCACUUCGCUACCAAUAUAGGAAGACAGGAUCUAGUAUCUUUGAUCUACUUCACGCCAGUAUAUGAAGACAAGAUCUGUUUUCUUCGAUCUACUUCGCCACCAGUAUGGGAAGACAAGAUCUGGUAUCUUUGAUCAACUUCGCUACCAAUAUAGGAAGCCAGGAUCUGGUAUCUUUGAUCUACUUCACGCCAGUACAUGAAGACAAGACUUGCUGAAGAGCUUUCUGGGCUUGACAUGUGUUUAGGAGAUCUACCAUACUCUAUCGAUGGCCCAAGAUGUCGCAUACCCUUUCCUGCUGAUUCUGGUAUAGCAAGACCACUGUAUAUCCCAUUUUGAUCAGUAUUUGAGCUGCUCUGAUUACUUCAUGCCCUAUUCUGAUCAAUAUUUGAGCCGCCCUUUUCGGGUUUUCAACUCAAAUCCCUUUUGGUCUAAGGCGCCCUUUGCGAGUUUUCACCUUAACCUCUCCAUUUUUUACUCAAAGCUCCCUUUGUAGGGUUUCACAUUGGCCUUUUUUUUGACUCAAAGCGCCAUUUGUAGGCUUUCACCUUGGUCCCACCUUUUAGGAAAAGUACUUCCUAACGGAAUUUGAGUUUACAUAGCUUGGAGAAUCUUUACCAUCCAUCUUACUCAGGAUCAAAAUUUUCCCCAGAAAAGGCUUUCUUUAUGACAUAUCCUCUUAAUUUGGCAUCCAUCUUCCUCUAAAAUCCUUUUGUAUAGGAAGGAUUUGCUUCCCCUUGUGAAAAUUUCUAAGACGAGCCUUUGGAUCUUCCUCUUAGGAUAAAAAUGCAGAGAAAUGACAAUUCGACUUCAAUGAGCAAAGCUAUGAUAAACCAAAGUGAAAGACAUUGCCCCAGUAAAGGAAUUUCACUGAGCAUAUCCGGGUAUAACCAUGUGAAGACAUCAUUGAAUUCCUAGGGUAACUCAUAAGGUCUUGCUUUGCUUCUUCAGUCAUACAUGUUCCUUCAAGGUCACAGUCUUCAUUGUCUUUUCAUGAGGUAAAAUCUUCUUCCUGCUCUACCAUCCUUAAUAAAUCCAGAAAUAAGCUACGAUCCAUGUCAUCUUCAAAGUUGUGAGAUCCCUCUAAACACAUGUCUCACUCAAAAGGAGAUUCUAAAUCUGUAGCAGUGUCAUUCAUGUCAUUGAUAUUUGGGGACCUAUAGUGGGUACCAAAAAAAAGAAUGUAUGAAUAAUAUGAAUGAACGAAUGAAUGAUUUGGCAGGAGAAAUCCAAUAGAAUGAAGAAAACGUAAAGACUGAAAGAACAUUUGCUCAAAGAUUAUUGCAAUAAUGUAUUCAUUAAAAAUAAUAAUGUUCAGACAUGAGCCUAUUUCACAAAGGAGUUCUUAUUGAUUUUAGGCUAAAAGCAACAAGUGUGUUCUGAACAUUACUCUAUCAAGCUCUAAAUAACAUAGGAGUUUCCUCUGCAGUCCCAUUAUUUAUAACACCUCCCAGGCGGAUAUCUGACCAGAACCCUUUUAAUUGCGUCUGCACAUAUGGCGUCGAUGUGAAAAUCUCAUCACUUCUCUACACAUCACACACCCCCCAUUAUCAAUCAUGAUUGGGUAAUGGACUCUCUGCACUUGAUGAGUCACCAAAUUUAACAACACCCAUGUCGAUGAGUCUUUCAACUUGCUUCUUGAAGGCAGUGUAAUUCUCAAUCGAAUGUCCCCUAAUUCCCGCAUGGUAUUCACAUUGCGCGUUCGCAUCAUACCAUUUGGGAUACGGAGGUUGUAGAGGCUUCACAGGAAAAGGGGAAACAACAUGGGCAUCAAACAGAUUUUGAUACAGUUUCCUAUAUGGUAUUAGAAUUGGCGUGAAUCGGGGCCUCUCUGUGUUUUGUCCUGUACUAGCUUCCUGUCUCGAUGAACCUUGCUGGUUAGCAGCCACCUUUCUUAGCUGACUUACCGUAACUGAUUUAGAGUAACCCAUGUUGUUCACCUCAUCUUCUCUUCUCCUUGAGACUGACCUCUUGUUACUCUCUCCAACAUCGAUCUUUCCACUUCUUAUGGCAUUUUCGAUCAUCUCGCCAUUCAUGAUUAUGUCGGGAAAGCUUUUUGUAGCACUCCCCAACAUAUGUGUAAUGAACGGUGCCUUCAGGGUGUUAAUGAACAACAUGGUCAUUUCUUUUUCCAGGAGCGAUGGCUGAACUUGGACUGCGACCUCCCUCCAUCUCUGCGCGUAUUGUCUAAAGCUUUCACUCGGCUUCUUCUCCAUAUUUUGAAGGGUGAUCCUAUCAGGAGCCAUGUCCGUCACAUGACUAUACUGUUUCAUGAAUGCUUGUGCCAAGUCCCUCCAUGAUCCAAUCGUGGCACGACUCAAUUGAUUGUACCACUUGGAUGCUGCCCCAGUAAGGCUGUCUUGGAAACAGUGUAUCAAGAGUUGGUCGUUGUUAACAUAACCCGUCAUUCGCCUGCAGAACAUGGUGAUGUGAGCUGCUGGGCAGCUUGUCCCAUUGUACUUUUCAAAUUCAGGCAUCUUAAACUUAUGAGGGAGAACAAGGUCUGGCACCAAACUCAGCUCUUUUGCGUCAAUGCCCCGAUUACUUUCAGUGACUUCCAUCGCUUUAAACUUCUCCUCGAGCCACUUGCAUCGAUCCUCUAACUGUUUCGGUAAUUCCACCUUUAUUCUUUCCUUCUCAACCACUUCAUCAAAGUCAGGAAUGGUAGAGUUAACAUGAUUAUUUUCAAGAUUAGAACUCGGCCCAGUUUGGAGGUUCGAAAUACCAGCCCGAAACUGCUGAGGCAUGAUAGUGACAGUAGAUUUGCGCGGGUAUUCAGCUUGGGCUCGCGUAUGUGGAGGGGUGAAACCUAGAGUGUAAAGAAUUUCAUCAUCAUUUCCCUCAUCGACAUUUGCCAUGGGACCCUUUCCUUUAUCACUUCCCUUAGUUAUCAGUCGGGUUAACUUUUCCACUAUAUCCUCCUGAGAUUCCCGUAUCUUCUCAGACAUUUCUUGCUUCAUUUUGUCUAACCGCUCCUGCAUUUGUAGCUGAAGCCGGUCUUGCAUCUCCUUCUGGUACUGUUCGAGCUUCUCUAAUCUCUGAUCCAUAUCUUUUGUCUUUGCUCGAGUGCCGUAACGGUGCUUGGUAGGUUGGUUGGUUUCCAGGUUAACUGAGCAAUGAUUUUAAUUAAUUAGGAUCAUUUAGAGGUGUUUAAUGCAUAUGAUGCAAUGUGAUGCAAAUGCAUGAAAUGAAUGCCUAAAGAGAUGUUAACUUUGAUUCAAUUACAUUCAAAAAACUUUACUAGAAGACGAAUUUCUUUACAUAAAGUAGAUAUAUAUAUACGACUUUGCCCUCAUAUUCCAGUCGAAGACAUCUUCUCCUUCUCUAUCCGGAUGCUAGGAUAAACCUUGCGAAUUCUUCAAAAGGAACGUCUCUUCUACCUCCUGGGCUGUGACUCGUUGCUCCUUUAUCGUCGCGAUGCUCGUUGGCUUCCCUUAAAAAAAAGUUCAGCGGCUCUCGAAUAAUCUUCAUCUGUAAUGGCCCAAAUUCAAAAUUAUCGGAAUAGUGGUUUCGUAACCACAAAUCUGAUUUAAAGAGAAAUUUAUUUUAAUAUUUUUGCAUGAAUAUUGAUAUGAUAGGAAAAAUCGUAUGAAAAUAUCGAUAGAAAAAUUUAACUGAUUAAGUGGUUAGUUAGAAAAAGAAAUUAUUGAAGGAAUUAGGUAAAAAUAAGAUAUCGAGACUUCGAUCUCGUAAAACCGAGUCAAAAAUAUUUUUAUAAAUAUUUAUGAAGUGUUAGUAAUAUGGUAUUAAAAUUUCGUUAGAAAAUAUUAAUGUUUGGGUAGUCAAUUAAGUGAAAAGGACUAAAUUGAAAAAGAUGUAAAAGUUACUAGAGGGAUUAAAUAGCUCAAUUGUGAAAUGAGGAGGGACAUAAAUUGCAAAUAACCUCAAAAGGAGAUAUUUUGGGCGGCAUACGCUGAGAAAAAUCAGGAGAAUUGAAGAAAUAAGGGUAAAAUUGGAAUAUUACAAAAUUUGCUUUAAAAGUUAGGACUAAAGUGGAAUUAUCUAGAUUUCUCUUUAAUUUUCUGCACUCUCAUCAGCCACAAACGUCCUAAGGGUUUCUUCAAGCUGGUUUUUCAUAAUUUUUGCACCAAGUGAGUUAAUUCUUGCCUUUUUCUUGUAAUUUUUGCAUUUCUAAGACUUUUACAACUAGGUCCUAUUACUUAAUUCAUUAGUUUUUGAUUUUAUGAAUGAUAUUGAAAGUUGAUAUGAAUAUGUACUGGAAUUUUAUGAGGAAAUAGGAUGAAAUUGAAGCUUUAAUUUGUUUAUGAGAUGAUUUUAUUAGGUAAUUCCAAUAGAAAUUGAUUUGUAGGACCUAAUUGUGAAAAAGUUUGGAAUUAAAGUUUAGUGCUGAAAUUCUUAUUUCCAAAGGUUAUAAGGUAGUUUAAAGUGAUAUAAUAAAGUGUUGAUUGAGAAAAAUUAGCUCAAUUGAGAGGUUAAUUGAGCAGGGACGAAAUUAUCAUUGUUGAAAGUUUAGGGGAAAAAUGGUAAUUAACACCAUGCACUAAAACAGUUUUGGACAGCAGCAGUACUUAACUUUGAAAAAUCACAAAAUAUUAAAGGUUAUUGAGUCUAGUUUCUUAUAAAAGAAACGGUGUAAGAAAUGGAAUUGUAAAUCAUGAGAUAUAAUAGAAUUUGUGAGACAAGGUCAGAAUGAAUUCGGGUUCCCCUGUUCUGAUUUUGGAAAAUCAUUAAAAAUUGUAAAAAAACGAUUAUGAGUUAUAAUUUAUAUGCUUAGAAUCCUUAAUGAGUCUAUUUUCUGAGGAAAUAAAGGGAAGCAUCAUCCUAAUUCUGUACAGUGAGAUAAUUAAUUUUUAGUGAAGAGGGGUCAGAACUGUCAUACAGUGAAACAGGGGAAACUUUAAAGAAUAAACUGUACUUAUUGGCUAAACCAAAAAUUCUGAAAUUUUUAUGGUAAGAAGAUAUGUGAGUCUAGUUUCAGGAAAAAUUAACGGAUCUUAAUUUGGAGUUCUGUAGCUCAAGAUAUAAAUAAUUUAGUGACUGUGACUCAGUGAGGCAGCUUUGAAUGCACUAUAAAUAAUAAUGGAAUUGUAGAGAAAGUUACAUAUGAACAUGAAAUGUAUUAGAUUAAUGAUUAAAUUUAUUUAUUUAGAUCCGGAAAAUUCAAAUACGAAGCAAGAUCGAGGAAAAGAAAAAGUUCGGGAUUAGUAGAUUUUUGGUUACGAACAAGUGUCGAGGUAAGUUCGUGUAACUUGAAUUAUAUUCAUAAAUGCUUGAAAUGUUUGUUAUUGAUGUGAAUAUGAGUUGGAUGUUUAUUGUAUGAUAAUUGAUGAAGUAUUGAUAUUCUUGAUGAAAAGAGAAAAUAAAUCCCGGUUGAAUGAAAGGAAAAUUCGAUGGAUCUCUGAAAAGGAAUUGACGGUAAAAAGGAUCUAGCCCGGACGGGUGAUCCUAUCCUGAUAUAGCCCUCCCGAAGAAUAUGUGGAAAAUUGAUUUAGCCCGGACGGGUAAUCCGAAUUAGGGUCUGAAUUUAGCCUGGACUGGUAAUUCAGAUCCAAGCUCAUUAGAGUAAUUGUCGUUGCAGGGGAUUUAGCCUGGACUGGUAAUCCUGACAAUACUCUAUGAGUUUAUAUUACAGGGGAUUUAGCCUGGACUGGUAAUCCCGCUGUAAGGAUGAGGUUCGCGGGAGUGUGCUCUCUGAAAUAGAAAUGUGCGCACAUGAAUAUGAAUUGACGGACCCGGAUUUGUACACUUAGGUGUACCCCAGAAUAUCCAUCGAAAUUCCAAGUAGUUCAACGGGAUAAAUGUGGAAAAAUAAUAAGGAAAUGGAAAUCAUGGAAUUGAUGAGCUCAUCAAUCAUUUAUCUUUGUAAUGAAUUUGUAUGAGGUUGAGUUUGUAUGUGAUAGGUAUAUGUUUAUGUGAAUUGGAUGUGUGCUUGUGUUAUUAAAUGAUGGAUGUAUAAGUAUGGUAAGUAUAAUUCCUGUUGCAUGAACUUACUAAGCACAAAGUGCUUACCCUGUUUCUUUUUCCCCUGUUUGUAGAGUUAAGAGCUCGGAAGUCGGAUUUGGUCGGAGACACAUCACACUAUCAAUCUCGAGAUCUCGGUACAUAAAGGAACUUUAUUUUGGAAAUCAAUGGCAUGUAUAAGCUAGUAAAUUAGAUGUUAAUGUGAAAUGAAUGUAUGGUUAGCCAUUGGUAUGGCUAACAAAUUUUGGUUUUGGUAUGUGAUGAAAUUAUCUUAUGAAUAUGAUAAAUCUAUCUUAAAAAAAAAAAUUCGGUAAAAUCUGGUAAUGCCUUAUACUCUAUUUCGGCGACGAAUACGGGUAGGGGGUAUUACAUCAUCAGCUUGAGUCUUCGGGCAACGGAGCAAUGGUUAUGUAGUCCUCCAUUAAACUAUCAUCUUCCUCUAGUUGUGUUUUCUCGGAACAUAUUCGGGCAACCGUAUUAUUUUCCACUUUAUCAAGAAACCCAUUUCCUUAUGACAAGCUCUCUAUUAACAACCGAACGUGAAUCAACACCUCUUUUAUGAUGAAAAAUGCAAUGCAAUCAUGAUGUCAUGCAAUCAAAACAAAAUGCAACAAGUUAGUAUCGGGUAUAAACAUUAAAUCCAAUAUAAGCAAGAAAUAAUAAAAACUCCUAGUCAGGUAUCUCCUAAGGUUUAGAGUACUUCUACCUAAGGUAAGUUCCUAAAGCUCACUAUAUGAGGUUUAGUUUCUAGAGUAAAGGUACCCGAACCAGCAGAUUCCUCGAUCCUCACCCAUUAUAGGCUCAUGUGGAUCAAGUUUAGUUCAGGGGGAUACAUUUCCCUAUGGCUGCACGGAGAUGAAAAUCUCACGAAGACAUAGGUACGGAUGUAUCCCGGAAGCGAUCCACUACCCUGCACGGAGGUGAAAACCUCACGAAGGACUAGUUUCUCGCUCCCACUUAAAGGGUAAAAUGCAAAAUGCAAAUGCAGAGUUGCCAACAUACCAAAACUCAAUGAAUACGAAGGGAACUCAUGAAAUUUUUUUUAAAACACUUUUGAUUUUCGACACAAAGACAAAUAUAAUCGGUUUAUGGCUCGACUCUCCAACGUCCCCAGUGGAGUCGCCAAGCUGUCGAAACCGCUUUUUUGAAAAAUAAAAAUUUGGUUGUCGACUUUAAAAAUAAAACUGGAGUCGCCACCGAUCCUUUAUUAAGGUGCGAUCGGCCCACCUUAAAAAUUAUUUUGGCCUACGAAUUUUGAGAAAAUGAGUUCGGGAGUCAGUUACGCACGAGGAAGUGUUAGCACACUCGUAACGCCCAAAAUCGGUACCAAAUUGAUUAUUUGAUGUCUUAGUGUCGAAGGUUAAAAAGAUUUUUAAAACAACUCAAAUGAUGAAAUCUGAAAAGGAUACUCAAUUGUUCAAGUCAUGUAAAGAAAUCGAGUCCCAAUACGUUAGGGUACAAUUUCUCAAAAUUCUCGAACUUUGAAUAUCACUUUUAUUUUAUGCGAAAAUUUUCAUUUUGGGAAAGUAACAUGCCACACCCAAUACGUUAGGACACGACAAGUUAAGUUCCCAAAAAUGAUUUUUAUUCUCAUGCAUUUUGAAUAAAGAAUAUUCCCAGCUUUUUAAGAUUGACAAAGAAAAUCAGAACCCAAUGCGUUAGGGCUCAAUUUUCCUCGGAAAUCCCAAACUUCGAAUAAUGCUUUUAUUAAAAAAAACAUUUGAAUCAUGAAAAUAACUUUGAUAUACGGUUAAAACCAAAAUAUAUUUUCAAAAGGGUACAUUGAAAAGUUAAUGUACAAUAUGAUACAAAACUUCAAUUUAAAAUACAUGUAUAUAUGUGUCUUUUCAAAAUAUAAGUAUGAGACAUAAAUAAAUUUUGAAAACGUGUAUGACAUAUAUUAAAACGGGUAUAUAUAAGUAUACGUAUAUAUAAAAAAAAUGAAAUAUAUAAAACAAAACAAAAACCUAUUAUAAUUUUCUAAGAANNNNNNNNNNNNNNNNNNNNNNNNNNNNNNNNNNNNNNNNNNNNNNNNNNNNNNNNNNNNNNNNNNNNNNNNNNNNNNNNNNNNNNNNNNNNNNNNNNNNUAUGCGAAAUUUAUGAAAAUAAGAUAAAAGUAUAAAAAUAUGUACAUGUGUAUAUAUUUACAAAAAAGUAUACAUAUAAAAUAUAAAGUAUAUAUAAAAAGUAAAUAACAAAAAUAAAAAAACAUAGGUAUAAAAUAUAUGCAUUUAUUUAUAAAACUUUAAUAUAUAUAUAUAUACCUAUAUAAAAAAAACCCAUAUGUAUAUUAUAUAUAAAAAACUAUGCGUAUAUAUAUAUAUAUAUAUGUAUAGAAAAUAUGAUAAUAAUCAAUAAUAAUAACUAAUAUAAUAAAAAUAAUUAAUUUUAAUGAUAAAAUAAUUAAUAACAAGGGACCCAAAUUGAAACUACAGGAAACUUUCAGGUAAACAUUUAAAAUAAUAAAAGCUGAAGACUAAUUUGUAGUGCGCUGGAAACAUCAGGGAGUAAACGAGCAAAUAUACCAGCCCCUUAUACGCAACAUUUUCAUGUUGGACCAAAUUGAAACAGGAAACAGACGUGCGGUCAAAAUUAAAAAUAAAAAAAAUUACAUUGAAGGUGACUCAAAAACAGAGGGACCAGUUGCGCAAAUUCCCCAUUCAGGGCCAGAACGCGCGGACCCUGCUUGCGGGUCGGGUCGACGCGCGGAUCUGGCCCCUUGCAAAACGGCGCCGUUUCACUCUUAUUAUUUAAAACAGUUUUCUUCUUCUUUUUUUUUAAAAAUCUGUAGCCAACAAACAAAAAAACUUUUAACCCUCUGCUAGGUUUUUUUUUAAAAAAAACUCCUUUUGUUUUUGUGCCGUCGCUCGUCGGCCACCGGAGCCCCGAUGACGGCAGAGAUGGUAGCAAACGGCGGCCCGAACACAAAGGUAAACUCCUCUUCACUCUCUUCUCUUUAUAAAUCAACAGUAAACAUGGAAGAAAAAAAAAUGAACGCCGAAAAAAAAAACCACCUUUAUAUUCAAGAAAAGUUUGUAUUUUCCUUUCUUUUUCUCUGUAUUUUUCAGUGUUUUUGUGUGCACUCCUUUACACCGAAAAUCCCCCCUUUAUUCUCUUUACAAAUCGGUUUAUAUAUAACCGAAAAAUAUAAAAAAAAUGCAAAAUCAAAGAAAUAUUUUCUGUUAUUGCUGCACUUUCUGCCAUUUUCCAGUUUUUUCUCGCAGGUAUGGGCACUGUUGGGGAGUGCUCACGCUCGUGGAGGCGCAAAUCGCGCGGAGGGAGGACUCUGGCCCGCAUUGUGCGGCGGCUGGAGUUGCUGGAGGCUGCCAUUAAGGUUUGGGGUAUGGGGGUUGCUAGUUGGGCCAGGUUUAGGGUUAUUGGGCCUGUAUAUUUGGUUUUUUAGUGGGCCGGACAAUUUGGGCUUGUACAAUUACUUUUCCCAACAGAUAUCUUUGUCCUUUGCAACCAAAAAAAAAAAAAAACAAAGAAAAACCAACCAUCCUAUUUUCUAAUUUAAAAAAAUAUUUUCCUUUUUGUGAAAAUAGAUGUUUUCGAAGUAUUGUUGAUUCAAAAGUAACAAAUUUUUCAACAAGUCGAUAUUUUUCUCUCAAUAUUUUCUAAAAGAAUGACAAUUUCAUAAACAACAGCUAUACUCAUGCUAUUCAAAUGUAUCUUAAUAAAACCCUAUCAUCAUUGAUGUCUAAAAGGAAUUUUUUAUCCCAUUUAAAGCUAAAAGCAACUAUUUUUUUAAAAGCCAAAUUAGCUUUUCAAAACCAUCUUUUUUAAGUCAAAUCAAAAACUUCAAAUUUCGUUUUUACUUUUCUAAAGCUAGUUUUGAGUGUCUAAAUACAAUUUUAUCUCUCAUUUAAUCUAUAACUUUUAUAAAGUAUAGGGACUAAUAGCAGAAUUUAACCCAAAUUUUGUGAUAUUUGAUUCCUCUCCCAUUUUUCUAAUCCAAACAUAAAGUUAGAAAAGGGGAGAUUCCUAUGCUGCUCCAAAUUGUAAGGUUUAUAUCUUGUAGUGAAACAAAAUUACAAAAUUAUAAUUUUGUCAUGUGCCUUUGGAUUUUAAUUUUUUUUAAUAUAUGGUAGUAUUAUAAUUUCAUUAUCGAUGUAUAAAAAAAUAAUCCAACUAUAAUUGAGACCCAGGUAAAAAGCCAGAAAAUUUAUCUUAUCUUAUCUUUCUGCUCUUUUAAUCCUUUAAUGAUCUGUUAAUUUUUGAGAAAGGUACAAAUGAAAUUCUACGUGUGAGAGGAAUGUUAAACUAAGUCGUGAUUCUCUAAACUCCUGCAUGUAUUGCAAUUGAGGUGAUGGAUACAAUGAAUGUUUUGUAGAGUGUAAAUUCUUCUUCUUCUUCGAUUAAGGUUCAAUUUAUCACUUUGUAUAAGAUUAAGGGAAAGGGUAUGUAUGAGUAUAGCUUAAGAUUGUUUUUUUAUCCAUAAAAAAAAUGGUGAUCUAUUUUAUUUUAUUCUUUGCUUAAGGAUCGCGUGAUAUCCUUGAAAAAAAAUAUAAAGUAGUAGGAAUAAAUCCCAAAAUUAUAUAUAAAUUAUGGUUUAAUGUGUAAUUGUAUACAUAAAAUUUUAAUUUGAUCCAAUUCUUCUAAAUUAUUAACACAAUUAUCGAUAUAACAUCAUUUUAUGUUUAUAUAUUGCAUACAUAAAUAAUUAUAUUCAUCGGAUAUAAAAAUAAAUUGACAUAUUUAUUUCUUUAAAUGUGCAUGACUAAAUCAAAAUUGAAGUUUCAAGUAUACAUUUGAACCACAAUUAGAGUUUUAUGUGUAUAAUUACACCAAAUUAAAAUUAUGUAUACAAUUGCACAUUAAAUCAAAGUUCAUAUAUAAUUUUGAGAUUUAUCCUUAACUAAUAUAAAGAACGGAGAUUUAUUAGCGUAACUGUUUAUUUCAUUCGUAAAUCACUUAACUUUUCUUAUUGUUGUCCAUGAUUAUCAUUUUUUGUUCACAUUAGUACUAAAACUUUGUUAUUUUUCUCAAUUUGAUCUCUAAACUCAAAAUUUUUUAAGGUAUGAUGAUGUGACAUUAUGAGAUUAUGCAAUGUCAUCACUUGAAUUUUUUUAAAAGUUUUCUUUAUGGUUUCCCCCCUUAAAUUGGUUCAUUUUAUAAAAUUAUUAUUUUAAUAAACAAAUUUCAUGUUAGAAACUGAGAAAAAAUAUUUACUUAUAAAUAUUUUUAUAAUUUUAUAUAUUUUUAUAAUCUUAUGUAUUUUUAUCAAGAAUGAGCUUGUAAAUAGUUUUUUUAUGUUUUGAAGUUUUUUUACUUUUAAGAAUUAAGACUAAAUUGAUAAAAUGUGUGAAGUUGAGGGUUAAAUUUGUUAAAAUUUUUUAUUAUGCCAAUAAAAAGAGGCCAUUAAAGUGAUUUAAUGGAUGAGUGACCAAAAUAUUAAAUUUCAAUAACGUUAAUAACUAAAAUAGUAAUUUUUAAACCUGCGUAAACCAAAACAAAAAUAUGCUAGUAAUUGGAUGUCUAUUUUUAUAAUUUACCCAUAAUAAUAUUAAAUGCAAGAUGCAAAGGUAAAAAGAAUCAAAUUAAAUUAUCAUUUUUUAUGAAACCCAAAAAUACAAAAUUAAAAGACUAAAAAAGAAAAUAAAUAAAAUUAUUAAUUUUUGAGAAGGAUCAUCUAAAAGGGGUGAAGUGCACUUACAUGUUCCCUCGAUAGUCUAUGAUUUGAGAGGAGUUAGACGUAAAUUAUUCUGGUUCUUUGAAUAAGAUUCAAUUAAUCACUUUGGAUGGAUUAAGGAAAAGAGUAGCUAUGGAGAUUGCUUAAGAUUGUUUUUCAUCACUUUGAAUCAUUCUUUACUUCAAGUCGAACAUACUUUACAACUAAUUUUUGCAAUUUUCAAAUAAAUGAUAGUUAGUGGUUCAUGUCAUUUUGCAACUCUCCUAUUUUGUUCAUCACUUUCAUUACUUAAAAGAGUACUAUAUAAUAAUAAUUCUUCACUUCACAUGGCAGCUGGAACAGGAAAUAUUGAUGCCUUUUACGCUCUAGUUCGAGAGCAUCCAUACAUGUUGGAGCAUAUUGAUCAGAUUCCUUCCAUCGAUACUCCACUUCACAUAGCAGCAAAUGAAGGCCAAAUUAAUUUUGCAACGGAGAUGAUGAACUUGAAGCCUUCAUUUGCUCGGAAGCUGAACCAAGACGGGUUUAGCCCCAUGCACUUGGCGUUCAGAAAUGGGCACCCCAAGCGAAUGCUUCGACUGUUGAAAAUCGAUAAUGAUCUGGUUCGCGUCAAAGGAAGGCAAGGGAUGACCCCAUUCCUUUGGGCUGCCACAGUGGGGAACAGGGAUUUAAAUUGCGGUCGCAUUGCGUUUAUCGUGGUUGCGGGCAUAACGGAUGCUAUUGCGGUUAUUGCGAGUAUCGAGGUCGUGAAUUUUAAAAAAAAUUCACACAACUUAUUGUAAAAUAUAAUAGCAGUUUCGGACGGUGCCGCUACCGCUAUUUAACGGCGCUAUUUCGGUAACGGACCGCUAUUUAAAUCCCUGGACUGGACUGGGGAACUCUAAUCUUUUAUUCCAGUUCCUUGAAGCUUGCCCUGAAUGCAUGGAAGAUGUGACGGUUCGAAACGAGACUGCAUUAAGCUUCGAAAAACGACCACAUCGGAGCUUUGAAUCUCUUGAUUGGAUGGCUUCAAAGGAACUGUCGUGGAGGAGCCUUUGAUUUGUCAGAAAAGGUUGUAAAUUGGAGAGAUGAAUAUGACAACACUGUGUUGCACAUUACAGCUAAAAAGGAACAAUAUGAGGUAUCUGCAAUGCAACUAUAUUAUCGUUUACUUUUGGGGUUUGAAUUUCUUUUUGCUGCCGGUAUUUAUCUGAUUGUGAUAAGUUUGAUUCUUUUGGUAGUGUUUGUAAGAGGAAUUUGGAUUUGACUUUCUGUUUUAUAAAUUCAUCAUUUCUAUUUUUUUUUUUUGUUUGGAUUUUUUGUUUAGAUGACUCAAAUUUAGAUUUGAGAUUCAACGACUUAAUUUUUUUAAAAUUUCAUUAUCAAGGAGGAUUUUGAAUAAAAUUGUCUGAACCCGACCAGUUAGACCGAGAACUAAUUAAUGUAUUGAUUCAGAGAAAGACAUUAAGUCGAUUGAAUUGGACAAAAAACCCCUUGAUCAAGUAGUUAAAACAGACAUUUUUAUUUUAUGAACCUUUAAUGAUUUAUUUAAUAAAACUGAACUGAUCGGUUGAACUAUCAAUUUGAUCAUUAGUUUUCAUAAUAAAGUGGAAAACGCAUUUUAUUCAUUCAAAAUCUAGGUUUUCAGAACCAAACUAUAGUAGUCAAACCUAUCAAACUGAUUGCUUUUUCCACUUUGUUUCAUUAAGUCGAGGUUUUCAAAAUAAGUAGUUUGAUCGGUUUGACUAUUAAUUUGAUUAUGAAAACAUUGAUCUUGAAUGAAUAAAAUGAUUUUUCCACUUGGUUAGGAACAGUAGUUUAGGCUAAAACUAAUUGGUGUUUGUAUAUUAUUUGAAAGAGUUUUUUUUUUCUGAAAGAAUGUAACUUUCUGUUUUUAUAUUUUUAUAAGUUUUUGGGUUAAAAUAUUAGAAAGGACUCUCAAUUUUAUUGUAUUAUUUAUACUUUGUUUACACUUAAAUAAAAUCAUAUAAUUUGAUUUGUACUUAAAUAAAUGGACUUAGAUGUAAAUUAAGAGUCGAGGGUUUAUAAAUUAAAAUCGUGAAAAUUAUGGUAUAAAUGAAAAUUUUAAAUAUUUAUACUGUAUUAAAUUAAAUGCAUUAAGCUUCGUCACUGUUUUCAAAAUUGGACUGGCUUGUCAAAUCGAUUGGAUCGUGAACCAACCGGGAUACCAAUCCAGAAUAAGGAGUCACACCAGUUGAACCGAUCGGAUCAGUCGAUCGGAUUAGUCAAACUGGUCGGAUNNNNNNNNNNNNNNNNNNNNNNNNNNNNNNNNNNNNNNNNNNNNNNNNNNNNNNNNNNNNNNNNNNNNNNNNNNNNNNNNNNNNNNNNNNNNNNNNNNNNNNNNNNNNNNNNNNNNNNNNNNNNNNNNNNNNNNNNNNNNNNNNNNNNNNNNNNNNNNNNNNNNNNNNNNNNNNNNNNNNNNNNNNNNNNNNNNNNNNNNNNNNNNNNNNNNNNNNNNNNNNNNNNNNNNNNNNNNNNNNNNNNNNNNNNNNNNNNNNNNNNNNNNNNNNNNNNNNNNNNNNNNNNNNNNNNNNNNNNNNNNNNNNNNNNNNNCAAUUUUUUUUUUUUUGUUAUGAAAUUAGAUUUACGUUUCCAAAGAGUGGAUUUGAUAAUGUAUUAAUUAUGCAGGCACUGAAGCUGUUGUUAUAUACAAUGUUGGGUUACAUGUAACAGCUAAGAACUCGGAAGGUUUGAUGGCUCGAGAAAUCAUAGAAAAUGUUGAAAGAAAAGGCUUGAACAUGAGUGGUGAAGAUGAUGACACUGCCGACAAGAUUAAGCGCAUUAAGAAAAAACUUGAUACCCUAGAACUAAUAUUAAUAGUGUUAAUUCGUGCAAGGAAUGGAUUGUCGGAGAACAUGAUCAACGCAACGCUGGUGACUGUGGCACUGGUUAUAACAGCAGUCGACCAAUCAUCUUUCAGCCCACCCAGAGGUGUUUGGCAAGUUGAUAACAACAGUAUCCCCACCACCACCUCAAACGUUACUACUACUGCUCUUCAAAUCUUUGACGACAAUUACAAUAACUCCAGAUUCAAACACCUGUUGGGUCAAGAAUCAAGGAAAACAGGUACAACAAUCAUGAAUCCCGACUUGUAUUCAAUGUUUUGGGUUUGUAAUCUCCUGACAUUUGAGCUUCCGCUCCUCUCCAAUGUUCCUUCUUUUCUUCUCAUCCCGCUUUAUUAUCUAAGCGUCUCCUACUUUUACUCGAUGACACUAAUAUCCCCGUCGUGGUUCUGGGAAAACGUCAAUUAUAUUCUCACGUGGUUAGCCAUUCUUCUCCCACUUCGCUUACUUCGCUUAAUCAUACGACCACUUAUGUCACCAGCUUACAAGGAGUACAUACGCUUACAUAGAGCUGUUACUAGAGCCAACAAAGUCGGGAUCAUCCAACCCUUGCUAAGGGGUAAUCUAGUUGAUAUUUUAUUAUGUCCUUGAUUUUUUUUUUAAUUGAACUUCUUUUUCUUUUUGUUUAUGUAAUUGCUUGGGAUAAAUUUAUGAAUAAAAUUACUUUGGUUAAACUACAUCAAUAGUCUUUUAAUUUUGUUUAUAUUUAUGUUUCAAUCACUAAAUUUUUAAAACUUAAAAAUUUAUUAUUAAUGUUAUCGGAUUGUUAUUAGGAUAAUACGGGUUUGAUGUGAAACGUUAAAUAUGCCAUAUGUUUAAAAAAAUUUCCUUUCUCUCCUUUUUCGGAUAUUAAAAUAUUUCUUCUUUUCACCUUAUCCUCUCUUCUCCUUCUUUCUCCACCAUUAAUGGUCUCACCAUCUUACUAUUGCCAGUACUCACCAGUCACCACUAUCAACAAUUUCACCAUCUCACCACAACCAAACAUGAACCAACAAACCGACUUUACCCAUAAUAAUACUCAAUAUAAGGUGUUUUUAUCUCUUCCCUUUAUGAAUAUAAUUGGUUCGAUUUUUUGGUUCAAACAAUCAACACUCUAACAGUCAAUAGACUGUGGGAUAGAUCACGUGCAAAACCAACCUAACCUAUGAGUAUAUCCAGAAGAGAAAAAUUAUACAAGUCCAACUCCCCCACAAGUUGCCAAUCGGCUCAUCCACCUUCGAAUUGAUUGGUGCAAUUGGAAUUACAUUGCCAAAUGAAAUACAUGAAGUUCAAGUGCUGACCAUCUACUAGAGGUGGACCAAGUAAAGACCAAUAUUCCAGUGUUGAUUCUCCAAGGCCCUCGAAGAGCCACCAACGCUGACAUCGCCUCCAGACUUGAUUGUUAUUAUUAUAUUCUUUUCAAAUUAUUUUAGUUGUUGUUUAGAAUGGAUCGUGACUAAUUUUUAUUAUGUAAACAAGUUUUGAAUAUUUUAUAUGAUUGAGAGACUUGUAUGGAUGAUUAUAUUGAAUUUAGAGAGCAGUUAAAUUAUUCAAGUGAAAAAAGUUAUUUUGUAAUAGUGCAUUUGAUUGUAAAAUCUUUUUGUUGUGAUUUUAUAGGCUAAGUUCUCAGGUGAUAGAUCUAGUCUUCAAGGUACAAGAGUAAUUAAGGAUUUUAAACCGGGAUGUGUUAGAAUUAUGUUCAAUGGUUGUAAUUGUUGAAAAAUAGUGGAUUCUUCUCAUUGAAUUAGGCAUAGUAGGCAUAGAGAAAUUGAAUUGCGUCAACAACCUUGUUAUCCUCUAUUUUAAUUUUGGUAUCACAAUGCUUGCAGAAGUACCCACCUCUGCAAUCACUUUUGCUCGUAAUUGCGUAAAUAACAUUGUUAUCCUCUUUUUUUGCCAUUGUUUUUAUAAUUUAAAAACUUUUUUUAUAACUUUAAAAUGUAAAUUUUAGGAUUUUAGAGCUUUUUGAUGUUUUUAGAUUUUUAAAAAACAAAAUUUAGAAUUAUUGUUUAAAAAAUUUUAAAAGUAUGAAAACAAUAUUUUUAGUUAUAGUCAAUUUUGUUAUUAACCCUUUGAAUUAGCGUGUCACAAUCCUCUUAACAGGAGUUAAAGGAUGGGUGACCAAAAUAUAACAAUUUAAUAACGGUAGUAACUAUGACAUAAAUUUUGAAAGUUAAGCGACUAAAAUAUAAAUUUGAAGUUUUUUUUAGGAAUUAUUGUUAUAAGUUGCCCUGAUUUUAAAUUGAAUGAGAAAAAGAGGUAUUAGUUAUAGAAAGCAGUAGAAUGACAGACAACAAGCAUCUAUUUUUAUUGUUGGUUUAAUGGCUAUGGGUAUUCGUACUUGAUUUAUGUCAUAAGUUCCAACAAAAGAUAUAAAAUAAAUGAAAAAAGAGUAUCAAACAAAUCAUAUAAAAACAGGUUUAUAAUUCGUAUUUUUCACGAUUAAUUAUGUACGUGUUUUUAAUUUAAAUUUUAUUCUUUAUUCGAUAUGAUUGGACAGCAUAUAAUUACUGUAGUAACUAAAAAAUGACUAAAUCCCUAAACAUGUUUAAUUGUAAUGUAAAUUAUGGUUUCAAUUUAAGAAACCAGCUUCCAUAAAUAAAAAGACUGGUUGUUUAUUGAGCCACUAGAAGAGGCGGCGGAGGAGGAGUCGCCUAAAAUUGGAAAUAAAAUGAUUUAACGUCCUUCUUUCUCCUUUGAAUAUUCCAAGCUGUCCAUUAGUUUGACUAGUAAAGUCUAUAUGAAGUAUGGAUAUUAUUCCAAAUCAUCAACUUUAUCCACCAACAUAGUUGAGCUAUUAACACGUGUCUAUUUAUUUGCAUAAAUCGAGCCAAUGGUUUUGGAAUACUUUCUAUGGGAAUGGGUAUAUCCUUUUUUUGGGGUCAAAUAAAUCUGAAUUACUAUUUUGGUACAAAAUAAUUGAUAAAAAAUUUAUAAUUUAAAAAAAGAAAAGAAAAGAAGUAACAAAUGUUAUAAAUGUUCCAUAUCUUCAAUUAUUUACCUCAAAAUUUGUUUUAUGAUCACUUUUUUUAAAAUUAAAUAAGAUUGAUUAAAAAUAUUCACCAUAUAAUUCAAAAUUUUAAACAUUUUAUUUUCAAACUCGUAUUCCUUAAUAAAUAAUAUAUUUUAAACUAUCUUGUUAAUACUAAUUUCUUGAUAANNNNNNNNNNNNNNNNNNNNNNNNNNNNNNNNNNNNNNNNNNNNNNNNNNNNNNNNNNNNNNNNNNNNNNNNNNNNNNNNNNNNNNNNNNNNNNNNNNNNNNNNNNNNNNNNNNNNNNNNNNNNNNNNNNNNNNNNNNNNNNNNNNNNNNNNNNNNNNNNNNNNNNNNNNNNNNNNNNNNNNNNNNNNNNNNNNNNNNNNNNNNNNNNNNNNNNNNNNNNNNNNNNNNNNNNNNNNNNNNNNNNNNNNNNNNNNNNNNNNNNNNNNNNNNNNNNNNNNNNNNNNNNNNNNNNNNNNNNNNNNNNNNNNNNNNNNNNNNNNNNNNNNNNNNNNNNNNNNNNNNNNNNNNNNNNNNNNNNNNNNNNNNNNNNNNNNNNNNNNNNNNNNNNNNNNNNNNNNNNNNNNNNUUAUCUUCCUCUCUUGUGUUAAGAAUUCCUUUAAAGUUUGUCAUCAAUGGUAUUAGAGCCAGGUUUAGCGUGUUUUGUAUUAUGUUCCAAAUACGAUGUCACAACAUCCGAGUGAUUACGAUAAAUUUGUUCAACCUGCUCUUCCUUGCUUUGAUGGUCAUUAUAAUCAUUAAUGGGGCAUGUUAAUAGAAAAUUUCUUAAGGUCAAAAGAAUAUUGGUCUGUUGUUGAGGAUGGAAUCCAAGAGCUAGAAGUUGGAACCAGUUUGACAGAUGCACGGAAGAUGGAGACUAAAUUCUUAGAAAUAACAAUAUAUGGACUAAUAUUUAAAUUUGUAAAAAGUACAAGGACUUAUGAUAUAUUUUAACAUUUUAUUAUGUUUAUACUAUAAUUUAAUUUGAAUAUUUGUUAAUGCCAAAAUGAUAAUAAUAACAUGACAUAAUAAUGAUAAUGAUGAUGAUGUGUGAAAAUAAAAAUACUUCACAUUUAAAUUGAUUAUAAUUUAAAUUUAUAUAUUUCGUAUAUCAUAAUAUUAAUGAAUUUGAGUUUAUAUAUUCUAUAUAUUAUAAUAUUAACAAAUUUGAGUUUUUUAGUAUUUCUUAUUCAUUUAGUUUUAAUUUUGGAAGUGAUAAUUUUGGAAGUGAUUUCAGUGAUGGUUUUGACCUCGUCCUCUCCAGUUUAGUGGAUAUUCGAUUCUUUUGCCGAUUUUAUCUACUACUUUAGAUCAUCCGAGAUUAAUUUUCUCAUAGUGUUAAAUGUUUGCAAUCACUCCAAAUAACCAUACUUGAGUUGUGAUGGAGACGAUUGCUAACUUGCUAUAUAUUAUCGAUUUUAUAGCAUAAUAUUUAAAAGUAAUUUUUUUCCGCCAUACUAAAAAUUUUAAAUAUUUUAAGAGUACAAUUUUUAAAAGCGAAGCUGGUCAACUUGCCCUAAAGCAAAUGGCGAAAAUGCGUCGAAAUUAUAUUGAAGUGAGAAAUGGGGAGUGGGAGUCAAGAUAUUGAUGUCUGUAAUAGGCGGCCAUCGAUUCAUAUCCGUCGUUAGAUAUAAAUAUAUUAAUCAUUUUUUAAAAUAUUCGAUAUUUUUAUGCAAUAUAAAUAUACCCUUGAGGGAUUAGUUUAGUGUCAGAUUGAGCUAAAUCAGUAAGGAUAGUCAUUUUGCAACUCUCCUAAUUUCUUCAUCAUUUAAAGAAGGAAACAAAAGCAUGGAUCCAAGCUUGAGAGAAGCAUAGCUGGAACAGGAGAUACUGAUGCCUUGUACGCUCUAAUUCGAAAGGAUCCGAACAUGUUGGAGCAUAUUGAUCAGAUUCCUUUCAUCGAUACUCCACUUCACAUAGCAGCAAAUGAAGGCCAAAUUAAGUUUGCAAUGGAGAUGAUCAACUUGAAGCCUUCGUUUGGUCGGAAGCUAAACCAAGACGGGUUUAGCCCCAUGCACUUGGCCUUCAAAAUGGGGCAUACCAAGCUAGUGCUUCGACUGNNNNNNNNNNNNNNNNNNNNNNNNNNNNNNNNNNNNNNNNNNNNNNNNNNNNNNNNNNNNNNNNNNNNNNNNNNNNNNNNNNNNNNNNNNNNNNNNNNNNNNNNNNNNNNNNNNNNNNNNNNNNNNNNNNNNNNNNNNNNNNNNNNNNNNNNNNNNNNNNNNNNNNNNNNNNNNNNNNNNNNNNNNNNNNNNNNNNNNNNNNNNNNNNNNNNNNNNNNNNNNNNNNNNNNNNNNNNNNNNNNNNNNNNNNNNNNNNNNNNNNNNNNNNNNNNNNNNNNNNNNNNNNNNNNNNNNNNNNNNNNNNNNNNNNNNNNNNNNNNNNNNNNNNNNNNNNNNNNNNNNNNNNNNNNNNNNNNNNNNNNNNNNNNNNNNNNNNNNNNNNNNNNNNNNNNNNNNNNNNNNNNNNNNNNNNNNNNNNNNNNNNNNNNNNNNNNNNNNNNNNNNNNNNNNNNNNNNNNNNNNNNNNNNNNNNNNNNNNNNNNNNNNNNNNNNNNNNNNNNNNNNNNNNNNNNNNNNNNNNNNAGCGCCGAAGACGAUGAUAAGACCACCGCCAAGAUUAAGCGCAUUAAGAAAAGAACUAGUCGGUCUGAAAGAGCAUUAGUAAGGUUGAUUCGUACAAAGAAUGGGUUGUCGGAGAACAUGAUCAACGCAACACUGGUGGUAGCGGCGCUGGUCAUAACAGCGAUCUACCAAUCAUCUUUAAGCCCACCGAGAGGUCUUUGGCAAGGUGAUAACACGAGUAACCCCACCACCACCUCAAACCUUACUACUACCACUAAAUUUAAACUCUUUAACGACAAAUACGCUGAAAAACAUUCUAAACGUGUGUUGGGUAAUGAAACAAUGAAAACUGGUACGGCAAUCAUGAAUCCCAACUUGUUUUUAGGGUUUUGGUUAUUCAAUUUUAUAGCAUUUGGGCUUCCGGUUCUUCUAACCGUUUUCCUUUUAUACGAUGUAGCUCGUAUUCUUCUUCUCCCGCUUUAUUUUCUAUCCGUCUCCUACUUUAACUGCAUGACAAUAAUAUCUCCGUCCAUGUUUUGGGCAAACCUCAACUCUGUUGUCAUGUGGACAGCCAUUAUUCUCCCGUCUGUCUUAGUUUUUGGAGGCGUAUGGUUAUGUAUGCUGCCAAAGCACCGGGAAAUCAGACAAAUACGCAGACGUGUCCGCAAUGACAAUAAUAUCGGAAUAAUUCAGUACUUGCGAAUGUCAGUCUAACUUAUAUAUUAUAUUUAUGUACCCUUUUCCAUUUUCUCUGUAUUAAUAUCUUUUCUUUUUGAAAAAAGAAAAAACACUAUGUAAUUGCUUUGGAUAAAUUUAAUAAAAACAGAUAUAUUUGAAGUAUUGUUUGUUUAAAAUCCACUGAUUUCUAAAUGUGUUAAUAUCAUUUUCGAGUUAUUAAUUAAAAAUAUCUUUAACAUAAAGAUAUAUGUAAUAAUUACAUACUUAUUAUUUUAUCUAUAUAAUAAAAAGUUAUUGAUUAAAAAGAUGAAUUAAAAAAUUAGAAAAUAAUAUAUUUGUUAAUUAAAAGUACUAUUUUUUUAAAAAAAUAACAUGAGAUAAAAAUAUAAAUAUGCGUAGGAGAUGUCUCAAAAAUAAAAUGACUAACAUUUAACUAUUUGAUCAAAUGAAUUAAUGCGUCAAGUUAUUAAAAAAUAUAUAUUUUAUCCUACAAGAUGCAUUUUACAAAAUCAACUUAUUUCUAUAAAUAUUAAAAAAAUCUACCUAAUACUCUAAUUAUUUUCUAAAAAGGACAUAUAUUGCUAGUGUACCCUAAAACUAGGAUGCGCCACGCUUUCUAAAGCAAAUAAUAAUAAUACAUUAAUCUAAAUUUCAUGAGCCCUUUUCUUAAUUCUAAGAAAUAAAAUCUCUCAAAUAAAAAUAAUAAAUAAAAUAAUCUUAAGUCUCGUAUGCGAAAUUGAGUUUUUGUGUCAAAUUUGUAUAUUCGUUAUAGAAAUGAUAAAUUAAGUAAAAUUCAUGUCCAAAAUUAAUUAAAAUAAAUAAUAAAAAUAUAUUAUCAUCUAUAUUUUAUAAUAUUAACUAUCAUUUAAAUAUAUAUUGUCUACUUUAUAACAUAAAUAUUUUAUCUUUUAAAAAAUACUCUUCUUCUUCUUUUUUACAAACAAAGACUGGACAUAUUUAUUGAAGUAAUACAACAAUGAGAAUAAAAAACAAAAACCAGCCAAAUAAAUAUAAACCCUAGGACUUAAAACAUUUUUCAUCUAAAAAUAAGAAUAUUAAAAUACUGAAAAACCUCCAAAUUUACCGUUAUCUACAUCCAUUACUAAUCGUAGACAGUGACAAAGACACUCGACAGAUGAUAAGCAAAAAAAAAGUACUCUUUUAACUACAAUACUAAAAGCGUCCGCUAACCAUUUUUCUAUUAAGAUAUUAAUCAAGACGGAUUAACUUAGUGUUAAAUCGAGUAAGUCUAGGGGUGGGCGGUGCAUUUAGUUUACUUUUUGUCUCACGCUACAGUAUCGUUACAGUAUCUAAUCUCACCGCCACCGCUGUUUUUAUACUAACCGCAGGUAAACCCACCACCCAUCCAAACUCACCCUAGAUUAAGUCCGUGGAUGAAUUUCCACAUCUUUUUUUAGGCAUUAAAUUGAGAGCCAAUCAGGACCUUCCCCUAAUUCCCCUUACCAAUCUAUAAAAAAUUGGAUCUUUGGUUUGAUUUUAUCAAUAAAAGAAAUUCCUUCCUCGGUUUCUUAAAUUUGAUAACUUUUAUUAUAUAAUAUAAUUUUGUUCACUUUUCAUCAAUAAUAGAAUAGAAAAUAGAUAGUUGCUUCCUAUUUCAGCAAUAUAAAUAGUUACCAUGUGUUUUUAUGUUUUUAAUUUUUAAUAUAAUUAAUGUUAUAACCCUCCUUAUGAAGCUAGUUAAUGUAAAGAAUAAUAAUUCUAAUUAUCUAUGCUUAAAAUUAAUUCAGUUGUGCUUUCAAUCAAUGUAUGAUUUUGAUAUUGCAAGAGGUGUCCAGCUAUGUGGUGAGAUCUUGAAGGUGUGUCUUUGUAACAACUUGAGAAGCUUUUUGGACUUUUUUCUUCUUCUUUUAGGUUUAUUAUUAGUAAAUGAAUUUUUGCUGCGAAAAAUUAGCCUAAAAACAAAAUAUAAAAAUGAUAGGAAAUAUGUUAAUUUUAGACGACAAUUAAUGACAUUGCAAUAUUACUUAACAACAUGAACAAUCCCCACCAUCGUAUUGUCAUUCCCAAGUAAUGGCGUAUUCUCUUUACUCGGAAAAUAUCCCUCCUAACGCUGGCCGAAAUUGGUUGAAACAUUAUGCAGCUAAUUUGGUAAGAUAAUGGACGUGUUUAUUGCAUCAAAAAGAUUUCGUUAGGUAUGGUAGGUUGGAAGAAGCAAAGAGAGCAUUGUGGAGUCUAGAUGGAAGGUGGUUCUCUAAUCAUAGAUUGACAGUCAGUAUGGCGAAGUUUAAACCUAGAGAUGAUUUGUGGAGGAAGGCAAAUGGGAGAGAGGUCAGACAACAUACAUAGAAUAUGGAAAGAAGAUGUGUUGAAGGAAAUACGGGGCCGCAUGCAAGUGAGAUUAUGGCAAAUAAUAAACAACAUGAAGAAAAUGACCCAAUCAAGUUGGACGAGAUGGUGGAAGAUUUAUGAAUUUCCAGAACAAAGUAGUAGAGGGAGCCAUUGAUGGAGAGAACUUGAAGUGGCUUGAAAAAUGUAUUGUGGGUAGAAUGAGAAACAAUGCUACUGUGGGGUUAUGGGGUGAUACUGGAAUUUAUAAAAUUGGAGUCCAAAGAUUAUCGGGUAAUGAUUUGUAUGAAUUGGAAGCCAAUGAAUGGGGAGAUGUUUUGCAAGUGUUUCAGAAAGUUGAACGGUGGACAACAAAGAUGAAAGAGUAAGGUGGUUAUCCUGUUACGAGAUUCCAAUACAUGGUCUUCGAGGAGGAAGUAGUUAAACAACUUGCUGCUAUUGAAUAGUAAAAUUGGUUUGAUUUAUUAUUUUUGGUGCAAACAAUCAACACUCAAACGGUCAAUCGGCUGUCGGGUAGAGCACGUGCAAAACCAACCUAGCAUAUGAGAAUAUAUCCAAAAGAAGAAACUUAUCCAAGUCCAACCCCCCACAAGUUCCCAGUCGGCUCAUCCCAUUGACCUUUCCACAACUUCGAAUUGAUUGGUGCAAUGCGAGGUCCAAUAUUGGAAGGAGAAUGGAAUCUUAACCGUGGGACCACACUUAAGCCGGCGUCCUAAAUGAUUAGAUGCGUGGAAGACGGUGGGUAUUCUUUCACCCAAUAACAUCACUACAUAUACACAAACCAUGUCUGCCCAUCUAGUGGGCUACUUGUGAUAAAACAGGAAAGCAAUGAAAAAUAAUAAUAUAAAGAAGAGAAAAACAAAAUCCUACACCUAAUAUAAUUUUUCCUAAAUACAAGAAAACAAGUUUUGGGAUAGAAAAUCAUAUCGAAGAUUAAACGAUUCAAUUCAUUUAGAUUUGAACGUUAAUUAAAUGAUUAAACAUUCAAAUCUCGUUAAAUUCAUGAACACAAUUUACAAGCUUUUUAUUAGUUAGAAUAUUCUCUAAUGCUUAAACGGUAUCAAUUCAAUCGAUUUAGUUCUUUUAUUAAGAACUAAGAACUGUCAGAGACAUUUUAAAAGGGUUACGUAUAGCAUGGGAGAAAAAGUUUUGUCAAUUAGAGAUUAAGAGUGAUAACACUCUUCUGAUGGAGAUGAUUGCAGAGAGAGGAGCAGUUGAUAGUUAGUUGAUGGAAUUACAUUCUAUUCAUGGAAUGAUGCAUUGAGAUUGAAAGAUUUGUUUUCGACAUAUCCCAAGAACUCACAAGAUUAUAGCGACAAGAUUCACUGAGGUCCAAGUAUUUAAAAAUCCACUUUAUUUUGUACAAGAUUUAGAACAAGCAGAUUACAUUAGCGUUACACAGACUAAUACGUUAUCUUAAUAGUAUUAUUUUAAUUUACGAAAAUAAUAAUAAUGGAGCCCAUGCAUGGUUUUGGAAUCUUUUCUAUGUCACAGCUCUGGGGAUGGGGUCAAGACACAACUAUCCUUUUUUGAGGUCAAAUAAAUCUCAAUUAGUUUUUUUAACCCUCUGUAUAUUUAUCUAAUAAAAUUUUGAUAUAAAAUUUUCCACAUUUCAUAAUGAUCGAAGAAGUGUAAAAAAAAAAGUUGAUAAAAAGUUUAUAAUUCAAAAUUGUUCCAUAUCUUGGAUUAUUUACCUGAAAAUUUGAUAUGUUAUAUAAAAAUUUAUUUUAUGAUCAAUAUAUAUCAAGAAAAAAAAUUGAUUAAAAAUAUCCACCAAAAUGAUAAGAAUGUACAUAAUUCAAAAUUUUAAACAUCUUAUUUUUAAACUGAUAUUCCUAUGUAAAUUAUAUAUUUUAAAAUAUGUUUUUAAUACUGAUAUUUCUUAAGAAAUUUGUUUCUAAAUUAAAUAUUUUUUUUUCAGAAUUAUCUUAAAAUUUUUGAAAUUUAUGUUUGUUUAAAUAUUGAAAUAAUUUUUGAUACGCUGCUUGUGGAAAAAGAUUGACAAAAAAUAGUAAAAUAUUAAAAAAAGGACACAUACUACCAAUACACAAAAUAUAUUAUCUAUUUUAUAACAUAUUACUUAAAAUAAAUAUUUUAUUUUCACAACAAUACUAAAAAUAUAAAUUUUAGAGUAAAAAUUUUUGAAAGCGAAGCUGGUCAACUUGCCUUUAAACAAGUGGCGAAAAUGCGUCCAAAUUAUAUCAAAGUGAGAAACAGGGAGUGGGAUUCAAGAUUUUGUCGUCUGUGAUAGGCGGCCACCGAUUUAUAUCCCUCAUCAAAUAUAGAUAUAUUAAUCAUUUUUUAAAAUAUUCGAUAUUUAUAUUCAAUAUAAAUCUACCCUUGACGGAAUAGUUUAGUGUAAGCUUGGUUUAAAUCAGUUGAGGUUUCAAAUAAGGAUAGUUUGCAACUCUCCUAAUUUCUUCAUCAUUUAAAGAAAGAAACAAAAGCAUGGAUCCAAGCUUGAGAGAAGUAGCUGGAACAGGAGAUACUGAUGCCUUGUACGCUCUAAUUCGAAAGGAUCCGUACAUGUUGGAGCAUAUUGAUCAGAUUCCUUUCACCGAUACUCCACUUCACAUAGCAGCAAAUGAAGGCCAAAUUAAGUUUGCAAUGGAGAUGAUCAACUUGAAGCCUUCGUUUGGUCGGAAGCUAAACCCAGACGGGUUUAGCCCCAUGCACUUGGCCCUCAAAAUGGGGCAUACCAAGCUAGUGCUUCGACUGUUGAAGACCGAUAAAGACCUGGUUCGCGUCAAAGGAAGGGAAGGGAUGACUCCUUUCCAUUGGGCAGCUGCAGUGGGGAACUCUAAUCUUUUAUUCCACUUCCUUGAAACUUGCCCUGAAUGCGUUGAGGAUGUCACGGUUCGUAACGAGACUGCAUUACAUCUUGCUCUGAAAAACGACCACACCGACGCUUUUAAUCUCUUACAUGGAUGGCUUCGAAAGAACCGUUGUGGAGGAGGCAAGGAUUUGGAAAGAAAGGUUGUGAAUUGGAGAGAUGAUGAUGACAACACUGCGUUGCACAUUGCAGCUACAAAGCAACAACAUCAGGUAUAUAUGCAAUAUAAUGAUAAGUUGCGUUCCUUUGAUCAUUUUAUUAAUUAUGACUAUUUAUAAUAUACUAUGCAGGCAGUACAACUGUUGUUGGAGUCCUUUUAUGGGUUAGAUGCAAACGCUAAGAACUCGGAAGGUUUGACAGCUCGAGAAAUCAUAGAAAGGGUUGAAAGACAAGGGCUGAACAUGAGUGGCGCCGAAGACGAUGAUACCACCACCGCCAAGAUUGAGCGCAUUAAGAACAGAACUAGUAGGUCUGAAAGAGCAUUAGUAAAGUUGAUUCGUGCAAGGAAUGGGUUGUCAGAGAACAUGCUCAACGCAACACUGGUGGUAGCGGCGCUGGUCAUAACAGCAAUCUACCAGUCAUCUUUAAGCCCACCAAGAGGUCUUUGGCAAGGUGAUAACACUAUCCGCACCACCACCUCAAACCUUACUUCUACUACUAAAUUUACACUCUUUAACGACAAUUACGAUAUAGCAAGUUCUAGACAUGUGUUGGGUGAAGAAACAAGGAAAACUGGUACAACAAUCAUGAACCCCAACUUGUUUUUAGGGUUUUGGUUAUUCAAUUUAAUAGCAUUUGGGCUUCCAGUUCUUCUAACCGUUUUGCUUUUAUCCAAUGUACCUAGUAUUCUUCUCAUCCCGCUUUAUUAUCUAUCCGUCUCCUACUUCAACUGCAUGACAAUAAUAUCUCCUUCCUCGUUUUGGGCAAGCAUCAACUAUGUUAUCAUGUGGGCAGCAAUUGGUCUCCCGUUGCUCUUAGUUGUUAGAAGCGUAUGGUUAUGGAAGCAGCCAAAGUACAGGGAAAUCAGACAAUUACGCAGACUUUUCCGCAAGUAAAAUAAUGUUGGAACCAUUCAACGGUUGCGAAUGUCAAUGUUGUUUAUAUGUUCUCUUACGUUAUGUACUUUUUUCCAUUUUCGGUAAAAAAUUUAUGUAAUUGUUUUGGAUAAAUUUAAUAAAUAAGAUUACUUUUUCCAACAAUAUCUUUGUCCUUUGCAACAGAAAAAAAAAACAUAGAAAAACCAACCAUCCUAUUUUAUAAUUUAAAAGAAUAUUUUCCUUUUUGUAAAAAGAGAUAUUUUCGAAGUAUUGUUAAUUCAAAAUUAACAAAUUUUUUAAUAAAUCGAUAUUAUUCUCUAAAUAUUUUCUAAAAAAAAUACAAAUUCAUAAACAACAGCUAUAUUCUUUUUCGUUGUGAUUUCGGCAAUAUAAGGCCGAAUUAAAUUUGUAAAAAGGGGUUACGAAGAUUGUAUCAAGAAACGAUUAGAAGAAUAUAAAAAAAAAAACAACACAGAGAAAAAUAGCAAUUUGGAGAGGUGAUUUUCUCUUUGGGAUUUUCUUUUCAUUUUUUCCUUUUGAUUUACUGUUUUUUGCAUAAAACAAAUAGAAAAGAAAAGGAGGAACCAUACCUGGGAGGCGUGCUUCCGAAGCCCUUCCUUGUUCUGUGCAGGGUGCAGAAUGAAGGAGUAGAGGGCUUUUGGGAAGAAGCGGCGCACGCAGGAGAGGAAUAACCUAGGGGUUUUUUUUUUUUUUUUUAAACCUUUAAAUGGCUUUUAUGCAGCAUACAACACGGCACCGUUUGGAGCCUGAUCAGUGGUUUCAAAACGGUGCCGUAUAGGCCUGUACCCAUGCGCGACCCGAUCCGACCCUGAGAGGAUCCGCGCGUUUUGUAAAUGGUUUAUUUUCUCGUUUGAUCCUUCUUGUUUUUCAAAAUGUGUUUAAUUAUUUUUUUCUUUUUAAAUUCAAUCACAAGUUUUAUUUCUGUUCUAAUUUAAUCCCCUAUCUGUUAUUAGUUAUUUAUUAUUAAUUAUUUUUACUAUUAUUUUUAUUAUUGUAUAAUAUCAUUUUUAUGGUGUUAUUAUUACCAUUACAACCAUAUUUAUGCAUACAUUUUUUUUGAAAUAUACGUACAUUUUUUUAUAAUUUAUAUAUGUACAUACGUUUUUAUAUUACACAAUUUAUAUACGUAUCUUUAUAUAUAUUUAAAUACAUAUUACUUUAAUUUUCAUAAAUAUAUAUAUACAUUUACAUUUUAUAAUACAUAUACAUUUUCCAAACUUUAUAGUCCAUACGUAUAUACAUUCAUUUUCUAUAAUAUACAUAUACGUACAUUUUUUGAAAUUAUUAUAAAUAUUUUUUUUGCAUAUUUCAUUUUUUAUAUACAUAUACUUAUAUAUACAUAUUUUAAUACAUGCAUAUACAUAUUUUCAUAGUUUACUUAUAUAUUAUACUUAUACAUUUUUUAUAUUUUGUAAAUAUAAGCCGACCGAGAGGUCUUUGGCAAGGUGAUAACACGAGUAACCCCACCACCACCUCAAACCUUACUACUACCACUAAAUUUAAACUCUUUAACGACAAUUACGCUGAAAAACUUUCUAAACAUGUGUUGGGUGAAGAAACAAUGAAAACUGGUACAGCAAUCAUGAAUCCCAACUUGUUUUUAGGGUUUUGGUUAUUCAAUUUUAUAGCAUUUGGGCUUCCGGUUCUUCUAACCGUUUUCCUUUUAUAUUCUUCUUCUCCCGCUUUAUUUUCUAUCCGUCUCCUACUUUAACUGCAUGACAUUAAUAUCUCCGUCCAUGUUUUGGGCAAACCUCAACUCUGUUGUCAUGUGGGCAGCCAUUAUUCUCCCGUCUCUCUUAGUUUUUGGAGGCGUAUGGUUAUGGAUGCUGCCAAAGUACCGGGAAAUCAGACAAAUACGCAGACGUGUCCGCAAUGACAAUAAUGUCGGAAUAAUUCAAUUCAUGCGAAUGUCAGUCUAAUUUAUAUAUUAUAUUAUGUACUCUUUUCCAUUUUCUCUGUAUUAAUAUCUUUUCUUUUUGAAAAAAAAACACUAUGUAAUUGCUUUGGAUAAAUUUAAUAAAAACAGAUAUAUUUGAAGUAUUGUUUGUUUAAAAUCGACUGAUUUCUAAAUGUGUUAUAUUACUUUCGAGUUAUUAAUUAAAAAUAUCUUUAACAUAAAGAUAUAUGUAAUAGUUACAUAUUUAUUAUUUUAUUUAUAUAAUAAAAAAGUUAUUGAUUAAAAAGAUGAAUUAAAAAAUUAAAAAAUAAUAUAUUUAUUAAUUAAAAAGCACUAUUUUUUAAAAUAACAUGAGAUAAAAAUAUAAAUAUGCGUAGGAGAUGAAUUAAAACCGAGUCUCAAAAAUAAAAUUACUAACAUUUAACUUUUUGAUCAAAUGAAUUAAUGCGUCAAGUUAUUAAAAAUAUAUAUAUUUUAUCCUACAAGACGCAUUUUAUAUUUCUUUCUCUAAAAUCAACUUAUUUCUAUAAAUAUUAAAAAAAUCUACCUAAUACUCUAAUUAUUUUCUAAAAAGGACAUAUAUUGCUAGUAUACCCUAAAACUAGGAAGGGUGCCUGUGGUGCGCCACGCUUUCUAAAGCAAAUAAUAAUAAUAAUAAUAAUAAUAAUAAUAAUAAUAAUAAUACAUUAACCUAAAUUUCAUGAGAGUUUGGUGUCCCUUUUCUUAAUUCUAAAAAAAUAAAAUCUCUCAAAUAAAAAUAAUAAAUAAAAUAAUCUUAAGUCUCGUAUGCGAAAUUGAGUUUUUGUGUCAAAUUUUUUGUGUAAUUUGUAUAUUCGUUAGUUUCCGACUUAUUGAACAAUAAUUGUAUUUAUAUAGAAAUGAUAAAUUAAGUAAAAUUCAUGUCCAAAAUUAAUUAAAAUAAAUAAUAAAAAUAUAUCAAUUAAGCACAUUAUCAUCUAUAUUUUAUAAUAUUAACUAAUUUAACUAUCAUUUAAAUAUAUAUUAUCUACUUUAACAUAAAUAUUUUAUCUUUUAAAAAAUACUCUUCUUUUUUUUAAAAAAAAAAAAAACAAAGACCGGACAUAUUUAUUGAAGUAAUACAACAACAUUGUAGAAAUGAGAAUAAAAAACAAAAAACAGCCAAAUAAAUAUAAACCCUAGGACUUAAAACAUUUUUCAUCUAAAAACAAGAAUAUUAAAAUAGUGAAAAACCUCCAAAUUUACCGUUAUCUACAUCCAUUACUAAUCGUAGACGGUGACAAAGACAUUCGACAGAUGAUAAGCAUUAAAAAUUACUCUUUUAACUACAAUACUAAAAGCGUCCGCAAACCAUUUUUCAAUAAAGAUAUUAAUCAAGCCGGAUUAAUUUAGAGUUAAAUCGAGUAAGUCUAAGGGUGGAUUUGGAUGGGUGAUUGGGUGCUGUGCGGUACGUUUAGUUUACUUUUUGUCUCACGCUAUAGUAUCGCUACAGUAUCUAAUCUUACCGCCAUCGCUAUUUUUACACUAACCGCAGGUAAACCCACCGCCUAUCCAAACUCACUCUAGAUUAAGUCCGUAGAUGAAUUUCCACAUCUUUUUUUAGGCAUUAAAUUGAGAGCCAAUCAAACCUUCCCCUAAUUCCCCUUACCAAUCUAUAAAAAAUUGGAUCUUUGGUUUGAUUUUAUCAAUAAUAAAUUUGAUAACUUUUAUCAUUAUCAUUAUUUUGUUCACUUUUCAUCAAUAAUGAGAUCAAUUGUUUCGCUAAUAGAAUAGAAAAUAGAUAGUUGCUUCCUAUUUCAGCAAUAUUAUAAUGGUACCAUGUGUUUUUAUGUUUUUAAUUUUUAAUAUAAUUAAAGGAUGCAUUGUAAUGUAAAGAAUAAUAAUUCUAAUUAUCUAUGCUUAAAAUUAAUUCAGUUGUGCUUUCAAUCAAUGUAUGAUUUUGAUAUUGCAAGAGGUGUCCAGCUAUGUGGUGAGAUCUUGAAGGUGUGUCUUUGUAACAACUUGAGAAGCUUUUUGGAUUUUUUUUCUUCUUCUUUUAGGUUUAUUAUUAGUAAAUGAAUUUUUGCUGCAAAAAAUUAGCUUAAAAACAAAAUAUAAAAAUGAUAGGAAAUAUGUUAAUUUUAUACAACGACAAUUAAUGACAUUGCAAUAUAUUACUUAACAACAUGAACAAUCCCCACCAUCGUAUUGUCAUUCCCAAGUAAUGGCGUAUUCUCUUUACUUGGAAAAUAUCCCUCCUAACGCUGGCCGAAAUUGGUUGAAACAUUAUGCAGCUCAUUUGGUAAGAUAAUGGACGUGUUUAUUGCAUCAAAAAGAAAUAGAAGAGGUCGUCGGUUUUGUUUCGUUAGGUAUGGUAGGUUGGAAGAAGCAAAGAGAGCAUUGUGGAGUCUAGAUGGAAGGUGGUUCUCUAAUCAUAGAUUGACAGUCAGUAUGGCGAAGUUUAUACCUAGAGAUGAUUUGUGGAGGAAGGCAAAUGGGAGAGAGAUCAGACAACAUACAUAGAAUAUGGAAAGAAGAUGUGUUGAAGGAAAUACGGGACCGCAUGUAGGGAAGAAUGCAAGUGAGAUUAUGGCAAAUAAUAAACAACAUGAAGAAAAUGACCCAAUCAAGUUGGACGAGAUGGUGGAAGAUUUAUGAAUUUCCAGAACAAAGUAGUAGAGGGAGCCAUUGAUGGAGAGAACUUGAAGUGGCUUGAAAAAUGUAUUGUGGGUAGAAUGAGAAACAAUGCUACUGUGGGGUUAUGGGGUGAUACUGGAAUUUAUAAAAUUGGAGUCAAAAGAUUAUCGGAUAAUGAUUUGUAUGAAUUGGAAGCCAAUGAAUGGGGAGAUGUUUUGUAAGUGUUCAGAAAGUUGAACGGUGGACCACAAAGAUGAAAGAUUAAGGUGGUUAUCCUGUUACGAGAUUCCAAUACAUGCUUGGUCUUCGAGGAGGAAGUAGUUAAACAACUUGCUGGCUUGCUGCUAUUGAAUAUUAUAAUUGGUUUGAUUUAUUAUUUUUGGUACAAACAAUCAAGACUCAAACAGUCAAUCGACUGUCGGAUAGAGCACGUGCAAAACCAACCUAACAUAUGAGAAUAUAUCCAGAAGAAGAAACUUAUCCAAGUCCAACCCCCCACAAGUUGCCAAUCGGCUCAUCCCAUUGACCUUUCCACACCUUCGAAUUGAUUGGUGCAAUGCGAGGUCCAAUAUUGGAAGGAGAAUGGAAUCUAAACCGUGGGACCACACUUAAGCCGGCGUCCUAAAUGACUAGAUGCGUGGAAGACGGUGGGUAUUCUUUCACCCAAUAACAUCACUACAUAUACACAAACCAUGUCUGCCCAUCUUGUGGGCUACUUGUGAUAAAACAGGAAAACAAUGAAAAAUAAUAAUAUAAAGAAGAGAAACAAAAUCCACACCUAAUAUAAUUUUUCCUAAAUACAAGAAAACAAGUUUUGGGAUAAAAAAUCAUAUCGAAGAUUAAAGGAUUCAAUUCAUUUAGACUUGAAUGUUAAUUGAAUGAUUAAACAUUCAAAUCUCGUUAAAUUCAUGAACAGCUUUUCAUUAGAUAGAAUAUUCUCUAUUUCUUAAAUUUAAUUCUUUUAUAUUAAGAUCUGUUUGAGACAUUAAAAAUUGGUUUAAUUUACCAAAAUAAUAAUAAUGAGGCCCAUGGUUUUGGAAUCUUUUCUAUGUCACAGCUAUGGGGAUGGGGUCAAGACACAGCUGUCCUUUUUUGAGGUCAAAUAAAUUGAUUAAAAAUAUCCACCAAAAUGAUAAGAAUGUACAUAAUUCAUCUUAUUUUUAAACUGAUAUUCCUAAGUAUAUUAUAUAUUUUUAAUACUGAUAUUUCUUAAUAAAUUUGUUUCUAAAUUAAAUAUUUUUUUUCAAAAUCAUCUUAAAGUUUUUGAAACUUAUGUUUGUUUAAAUAUUAAAAUAAUUUUUAAUACACUGCUUGUGGAAAAAGUUUGACAAAAUAUAAUAAAAUAUCAAAAAAAAGACGCAUACCAAUACACAAAAUAUAUUAUCUAUUUUAUAACAUAUUAUUUAAAAUAAAUAUUUUAUUUUCUAAAAGUAAUUUUUUACCGCAAUACCAAAAAUAUAAAUUUUAGAGUAAAAUUUCUGAAAGCGAAGCUGGUCAACUUGCCUUGAAACAGAUGGCGAAAAUGAGUCCAAAUUAUAUCGGAGCGAGAAACAGGGAGUGGGAUUCAAGAUUUUGACGUACUGUAUAGGCGGCCACCGAUUUAUAUCCCUCGUCAUAUAUAGAUAUAUUAAUCAUUUUUUAAAAUAUUCGAUAUUUAUAUUCAAUAUAAAUCUACCCUUGACGGAUUAAUUAGUUUAGUGCAAGCUUGGUUUAAAUCAGUUGAGGUUGCAAAUAAGGAUAGUCAGUUUGCAACUCUCCUAAUUUUUUCAUCAUUUAAAGAAAGAAACAAAAGCAUGGAUCCAAGCUUGAGAGAAGUAGCUGGAACAGGAGAUACUGAUGCCUUGUACGCUCUAAUUCGAAAGGAUCCGUACAUGUUGGAGCAUAUUGAUCAGAUUCCUUUCAUCGAUACUCCACUUCACAUAGCAGCAAAUGAAGGUCAAAUUAAGUUUGCAAUGGAGAUGAUCAACUUGAAGCCUUCGUUUGGUCGGAAGCUAAACCAAGACGGGUUUAGCCCCAUGCACUUGGCCCUCCAAAUGGGGCAUACCAAGCUAGUGCUUCGACUGUUGAAGACCGAUAAAGACCUGGUUCGCGUCAAAGGAAGGGAAGGGAUGACCCCUUUCCAUUGUGCAGCUGCAGUGGGGAACUCUAAUCUUUUAUUCCACUUCCUUGAAACUUGCCCUGAAUGCGUUGAGGAUGUCACGGUUCGUAACGAGACUGCAUUACAUCUUGCUCUGAAAAACGACCACACCGACGCUUUUAAUCUCUUACAUGGAUGGCUUCGAAAAAACCGUCGUGGAGGAGGCAAUGGUUUGGAAAGAAAGGUUGUGAAUUGGAGAGAUGAUGAUGACAACACUGUGUUGCACAUUGCAGCUACAAAGCAACAACAUCAGGUAUAUAUGCAAUAUAAUGAUAAGUUGCGUUCCUUUGAUCAUUUUAUUAAUGAUUAUUUAUAAUAUUCUACGCAGGCAGUACAACUGUUGUUGGAUUCCUUUUAUGGGUUAGAUGCAAACGCUAAGAAUUCGGAAGGCUUGACAGCUCGAGAAAUCAUAGAAAGGGUUGAAAGACAAGGGUUGAACAUGAGUGGCGCCGAAGACGAUGAUACCACCACCGCCAAGAUUGAGCGCAUUAAGAAAAGAACUAGUAGGUCUGAAAGAGCAUUAGUAAAGUUGAUUCGGGCAAGGAAUGGGUUGUCAGAGAACAUGCUCAACGCAACACUGGUGGUAGCGGCGCUGGUCAUAACAGCAAUCUACCAGUCAUCUUUAAGUCCACCAAGAGGUCUUUGGCAAGGUGAUAACACUAGUAUCCCCACCACCACCUCAAACCUUACUACUACUACUAAAUUUAAACUCUUUAACGACAAUUACAGUGAGUAUCGUUUUAAAUUUCUGUUGGGUGAAGAAACAAGGAAAACCGGUACUGCAGUCAUGAAUCCCAACUUGUUUUUAGGGUUUUGGUUUUUCAAUUUUAUAGCAUUUGGGCUUCCAGUUCUUCUAACCGUUUUGCUUUUAUCCAAUGUACCUAGUAUUCUUCUCAUCCCGCUUUAUUAUCUAUCCGUCUCCUACUUUAACUGCAUGACAAUAGUAUCUCCUUCCACGUUUUGGGCAAACCUCAACUUUGUUGUCAUGUGGACAGCCAUUCUUCUCCCGUUGCUCUUAGUUGUUAGAAGCGUAUGGUUAUCGAAGCAGCCAAAGUACAGGGAAAUCAGACAAUUACG